UGACAACUCCUCGUUUACUAUUACAUUUCGGUUAUUUUUUCAUUUUCACACUUUCCAUUAUUUUAUAACAUGUUAUGACGUCAAAAAGAAAUUACAACACGAUAUAGUGAAAUACAAAUGAUAGAACUAUUAAAGUGGCAUAAUAAGAUGAUGAUAGAAUCUGAUCCGAUAUACUACAGCAAAAAGAUAUUUGUCACUGGUCAUAUUUUUUUAGCAUAAUAAUAAAAAGAUUAUGCACACAUUGUGCUUGGGUAUGCCUAGAUAUUCUAAGCAAGUCGGUCAUAAAUACAAAUAUAUACGUUCUGAAAAGGCACCAAAGAGAUAUCUAGCAACCUCCACCACCACCACCACAACCUCCUCCUCCACCACAGCCGCCUCCACCGCCAGACGCUCCAGCAUAUAUAUGGUCUAUGUUUCGUCUCAUUUUUUAGAUUUUUUUUCAUCGGUGCAAACAAAUACGGCCAUGGCUACUAUGGAGACGGUGGCUGCAACCGCCAAUAUUCCCCAAACUAAACCAAAGCCACUGGUUGGACUUGGAACGUCGGUCAAUAUGCUUCUCACCAUAUUCUCCUGUGUAUAUUUUGUUAAGUUUGAUAUUUUGGAUUCGGUUUUGGGUAAGGAUUUUUAUAUGCUUUUUAGAUGUGAGAAAUAAAAAGCAUUAUUUGUAGGUAAUUCUUUGAAUGGACAAUGUUGGGUUACCGCUUACGUUACGUGUGUCGGUAUGUGGUUACGUAAAAGUAAUAUGUAAAAAUCUACUGGUUUCUUUGAUGUCAUAUAAGAAAAUUUUGGUUUAUAUGAGGUGGCUACUUUUCAACGUGCUUUAAGAUUUGGUUCAAUAUAAGCGAUGCUUAAAAGUCUUAUGAUAAGGUCCCUCUGGCUACUUUUCAACGUGCUUUAACAUUUGGUUCAAUAUGAGGGAUGAUUAAUAGUCUUAUGAUAAGGUCCCUCGACUUUGGUACAUGGAUUGUCGUAAUCCAUAUCUUGGAAUAUUUUGUUUACUAAUUCAUUAUUUGGCUUUUGAAAGUUUGAAACAAAUUUUUUUUUUUAAAAAAAAAAAAAAAAAACAGACUACGCAUAAUAUUAGAUUCUCAAUUUAGUUGAUAUUCUUAUGUACAGACCUUUGGGGAACCAAUCUAUUUAUUUUAGGAGCUUGAUAUAGUUGUUAGAUUAGCAAGCAUGUUCUAUAUAUAGAUUGGUUGGUAAGGUAAAUCAGUCAUAAUCGGUGAAGACCUAAGGUAUAUUCUUCUUUUUUUUGGUCAAAACCUAAAAGUAUAUUCAUUUUCUAAUAAAAAAACAUUUAUUAUGAAUUUAUGAUAGAUAUUUGGCUAGUGGAUAGUGGUAUAUGCUCGUAUUCAUAUAAUAAUCGAAUGAUGUUUGUAUACAUGUAAGUCGUCCUCAUUUAAUUUUCUAAACCAAAACCAAUUAUGAUCAACGAGAUUUUGGUUUUUAUAUGCUGAAUUCGCUGAUCGUAUGUAUUCGUAUAAUAGUCAAAUGAUGUUUGUAUACAUGCAAAACUUCCACAACAUAUAUCUUUAAGGUGAAGGUAAUAUCGGUCGCAUUUUCAUUCUACAUUUCGUUAAUUUUUCUUUUAUCCAAUUCCUAGGUGGAGGCCAGAAUUUCUGAAAUAUGUUUCACACCGGCUUUAUAUUAUAGUAGCUACGAAGAACAUAACAACACAUUACUAUACUAUCAUAUUUAUCUAACAGUAUUAUAAUAAUAAUAAAGAAGAACUUAUAACAUUAUAUAUAAAAAGGUGAAGUCUCAUUUUUAUUAGAGUUUACCUUGGCGUCAUUGUAGAAAAUUCCUAAAAUCUAAUAGAUUUGUCAUUUUGAUUAAAAUUUCGUUCUGUUUAUAGGUUCUUGGUACUCCAACUACAAAGAAAUCAAAGACCACUGAUGGAUACUAUCUCGACACGGAGGCAGACGACAGCGAAAUUGAAUUAAACGUUAUCGAUUGUUGGCUUUUGUUCCUGAAGCAAGCUUCUCCUUUGAAUCUCUGUGUACACUACAAGAAAACACCUGUUUAACAACGAUCCUAAACGUCGCUAAAUCGUUGUUAAACAAAGUUUAGAUCGAUUACGACGAAUCACAUUGUGAUUCGUCGUGAAUCGAUCAUCGUAAAAUGCUAAAUCGUUGUAAAUUCGUCGGCAAAUUUACGAGAAACAAAAAAUUGUCAUUAAAAUCGUCAGGGAACUUUUCGUUGCAAGUUCGAUGUAAACUUAAUGAUGAUUUUACGACGAUUAAGUAUUUGUUGUUAAUUCAUUAGCAAUUCGAAUCUAACAAUUCGUCGGUAAAUCGUCAGUAUUUUUAAAUCGUUGUUAAUUCAUUGUUAAUAAUUCGUCGGUAAUUCGAUAUUACAACGAUUUAAGGACGAUAAUAAAUAUAAUUAAAUUAUUUUAAUGACUACUGAUUCUCCAGUUUCCAAGCACUUCGCCUAGAAUGGUAAGUUCAUAAAUUAAUCAGAAAUAGAAGAAAAAAACUAUUGCCUAGAAUAGCUAGCAGUGACAAGCACAAACGUUAUCUGGAAUACAAUUCCAAAAGAUCUUGUUCAUCCAUCGGAUUUCUUCUCGAAUUGGAGUAUCAUGAACCUGUUCCUCAAUCCCUUCUGUAAUGAGCUGUCAAGUCCAGCUGUCUUAGCUCUAGAAUCAUCUAUUGUCUGUAUAAAUAUGAAGUGAUGUAGAAACCCUAAUCUAUAAACUUAUACACUCCAAAACCAGACUUCCCCACAUCAGGCUAGCAAUUUGAAAUCUUAUAUAAACCAUCAUAGACAUAAACCUUAGAGCUAACAUUGUUCUCUAAUCACCCUUACCUCAAUAUCAUGGUACCUACUCCUCUACCUUGCUAGAUUCCCACUUUCUAGCUAUUUGUUUAUGUUGACGUUUAAAUUGCAAAAAAAAUAGUUGGCUUUUCAAAUGUUUUUGGGAUUAGUNNNNNNNNNNNNNNNNNNNNNNNNNNNNNNNNNNNNNNNNNNNNNNNNNNNNNNNNNNNNNNNNNNNNNNNNNNNNNNNNNNNNNNNNNNNNNNNNNNNNAAAUAAUACUCAUACCAUUGUCUAUGUCUAGUGUUGAAAGAGAUUUUCCAAUAAUCUAUUACAUAAAAUAAAUUUAAUUUACGAAAGAAAAAUUCGGAAAAAAAUCUAUACAUAUGUUCAUUUUAGUUAAACUAUGGCUAAUCCGAUCAAAGGGUUUAGAAGAAUUUGUUGGAAAGAUGAUUUUUUGCUAAGUAAUGAGAGGUUUAUUGUAAACUGAGAUUACAUGUACUUGUACGCUUUCUUAUUUGUAAUAAGUUUCAUCAUUACUAGAAAGAAUCUUGGUUUUGUUGAAUUCUUCAUUAGUUUCCAUAGUUUAACUAAAAUGAACAUAUGUAUAGAUUUUUUUCCGAAUUUUUCUUUCGUAAAUUAAAUUUAUUUUAUGUAAUAGAUUAUUGGAAAAUCUCUUCAACACUAGACAUAGACAAUGGUAUGAGUAUUAUUUUUCUUACCACACAAAAUUGGUAAAGAGUCGUCUACGAGUGGGAAAUACAUACACUUAUGCUAUUUUUUAUAACUAUUUUUUCCAAUUCAGAAAGAGUGGUUGAGGUCAAUAUACAUAGUUGACCAGUUUAAUAGGUAUAUGGUAAUGUUAUUUUAAAAAUUAGAAAAGUAACAAAGAGAAACUUUUUUAAGCCAUUAAGGUCCUUCUCUCUUUGAUUUAAUUACGUCAAUGCCAUUAUAAUAAAAAAAUAUUCUUAUAUUAGUUUCUCAGUACCACUGUUCAUCUACCGUAAUGUUAUUGUUCAUUUUUGCCAAAAUUUGAAUAAUAAGUUAACAUUUAAUAAAAAAAAACUAUUUGGCUAAAAUGCUAAAAGUUAUAUAGUAUAUUAAUGUGCUAACAAUAAUAUUUGAUAUUAUUAUUAACCUGCUAACAAUAGAAUUAUACCGAUAACAAUAGUAAAGUAUUGGUUUGUGUUGUUAACAAGUAUUAUUUUUAUUAUUAGCAGGUUAAUAAUAAUAUCAAAUAUUAUUGUUAGCACAUUAACAAAUAUUAUAUUUUAUUGUUAGCUCGUUAACAGGUCUCAUACAUAUUGUUAACACGUUAUAAGUAUCAGAUAUUAAUGUUAACAUGUUAACCAAAUAAUUAUCCAGUAAAUUUUAACUAUCAUAAUAUGCUAACAAUGUACCUACCCUACUGUAAUCGCUUAAAUUCUAAUUAAUGAAGAAGAUGUUCAAAACAAAGUAAAAAAUAUUUGUUUUUUUCUUUACAAAGUGAAUAACAUGAUAACAAUGAUUACAACAAAUUACAUAGAAUUAUAUCGAUAACAAUGACAUAUUAUAUGCUAACAUUAGUAUCCAUUGAUAAUACCGUUGUGGUGGUGAUGGUGACCAGAGACGAUAUAUACCGGAUUGUUUAAUUCUAAUUUGAUCGGCUUUAAAGAGUUUCCUACGAAAAUCAGACAAAUCGAAGUACAAAUUGGACUCGUUGAACUUGAAAUCUGAAUCAAUGGUGAUGUGGUAAGAUGGAUCUGCGGGAAGAUAGUGAUGACUCAGCCAUGAGUACUGGAUUUUUGUGAACGAUUUUCAGAUGAUAAAGAAUAAAAAAUGGUGAGGUGAGAGAAUAUGUGAGCAGAUUUUUAACUUUAUUUUUUUGCAAAAAUCUGCGAAUGCUAUCAGAUGUUACCCAAAUUAAAAAUCGUGUUAUCACUAGGCACUAUGUUGUAAUUAUAAUUUCUAUAUCUGAUGCAGUAACAAUAUUAAUCUUCAAAAAUUGGCUGUCCCAGUUAUUUGUUAAGGGGAUUGUGAGGUUAUCAACACUUUUCAGUAUUCACUUCACUGCUAAUAAUAUCAUCAAGUAAUGAAAACUAAUUACGAGAUUAGCAUUCUCAUUGGAACAUAACACCUAUGCGCUGUAUUCGCGAGUGGGUCCUCCUGGUAUCUUUGAAAGAAUUCUGAAGUUUAGACACAGUAGGAGAGAGGAGAAAAAAAAGAGAGAGUCUUUACUAUUCUUCAGUGUGGGAGAGAGAGAGAACGAAGAGCUGUAAAGCACAUGACCUCUAUACCAUUGUGGCCUCAGCCUCCGAUACAGCUCCUCAGCCGCUGCAGCUUCGCGACGGUGAUGCUUUGAAACAUCGUCCCGAUAUACAGACAAGGUUUUGUUUUUUACCUUUCUGUUUGUUUGAGUCUCUCUUUCUCUGUUCGAUCCUCUUACGUCUAUGUUUGGUAAACUAUGCAUUUCAAUCUUACGUAUGGUGGGUGUUUCUAGAUCUCGGCUAGAUCUAGCUCCGGGUUUUCUUGUUUCGGUGUCUCAGUGAAUCGAUCUGUGUUCUUGGGCUCGUUCGUGUUGUUUUCUGAUUUGAGCUCACACGAAGUGGCUUUUCUCAUCGAAGAUGGCGAAUUUGACUUGAUAGUAGCUAGUCUUAAUUUUUUGUAUUCAGAUGAAAGUUUCAACCUAUUCCUAGUGAAGACCCUGAUUCAGUAGUAUUAACCUUUGAAGACAAAAUAAUUAGGUUACAGAAAAUUUAAGAGGAAGAACACGAUGAAGAUGCUUGUUUUACUGAUUAAUUUGGUUUUUGCCCUUUCAUCUAUUAAAUAUUUCCUCGGGUGAAUUUUAUUACUUUAUUUGGCUUUUGUUAUUCAUAUUCGCUUGUUUGAUUCAAAACUGUUCACUCCAAAAAGUACUUGUGGGUCUUCGAGUUUUAAUCCUGACAGGUUUUGUAGUCUUCGUGUAAUUAUGUGAUUCUUGGCCCAUUCUUUCUUUUUGCAGUCUGUAUUGAUUCUGAACUCUCUUUUGUUUUGUUGUGUUCUUUUGGUCUGUUCUUCAUUCUUAAUAGUGUUUGUUCCAUGGUGUGUAAUGAUUGUAUCUUUUGAAUGUACGGAUUUGAUGUCCACAAGAUGUUGACAUCCUAAUGUUGCUGGGUUUGAAAGCUAUUUAAAAGACCAUAUGCUUGACAUAGACUGAGUGAAGAAGGAUUCAAAUAAUUUAGAUUGGUUUUUCUAUUGGUUAUUAUUUUGUGAUCUGAUGUUUAUUAGGGGAGAAAUCACUAAAUGUUACCAGUUUUCUUUAUUCUUUGAUGACAAGAAUAGUUUAAUGCUUGUAAUAAUAUGUUCUUGUUUGAUUGCAGGUAAUGUCUGCUGCUGUUAUAGAGGGAAAUGAUGCUGUUACCAGUCACAUCAUUUCCACUACAAUUGGAGGCAAAAACAGUGAACCUAAACAGGUAGGAUUAAAUCUACAAAUAAGGCAGUUAUUGCUCAUGAAUUCGGUGCACACUACCAUGUGUAAGGUUACCUAAGUUUUAGGGUUAAUACUUUGUGGCUCAUUAAUGCCAACUUUAAGUAGGCCUAUUAGCUUAUGUUUCCUCCUUCUACCUUUUACAAACAAUUAGUUACAUGGCCGAGCGGGUUGCUAGAACAGGAUCUUUCGGAAUUGUAUUCCAGGUAUUUUUUGUGCUUGUAGCUUUUAUAGGCAAUAGCUUUUUUCUUUCAUUUCUGAUCAAUUUAUGAACUUACCUUUCUAAGAGAAGUGCUUGGAAACUGGAGAAUCAUAGCCAUUAAGAAGGUUUUGCAAGAUUGGUUCUAUAAAAACCAUGAGCUGCAAUUAAUGCGAAUAAUAAACCACCCUAAUGUGGUUUCUUUGAAGCAUUGUUUCUUCUCUACAACGAGUAGAGAUGAGCUCUUCCUCAACCUUGUUAUGGAGUAUGUACCCGAGACUUUGUACCGGAUUUUGAAGCACUAUACUAGUUCAAACUAGAGGAUGCCUUUUUUUAAUGUCAAACUUUAUACAUACCAGGUAUGCAUUGUUAUCUGCCACAAAUAUUCUUGGUUUUUCUUAUUGAUCCUGAAACGGGUUAGCAAAUAUUUUGUGCAGAUCUUCAAAGGCUUGGCUUAUAUCCAUACUGCUCCUGGUGUCUGCCACAGAGAUGUGAAACCACAUAACCUUUUGGUAAGUUGAUCUAUUGUGUUUGUCUUCAGUAACCAUUACUAGACUGUAAUCCAAUUCUCUGGUGCGUUCUGUAGGUUAAUCCCUUCACUCAUCAGUGUAAUCUGUGUGAUUUUGGAAGUGCAAAAGUAUUGGCAAGGUUUUACCUUAUAUAUGCUGUUUCAUUUAUUUUUCCACUGCUUAUGUGUUCUGUCUCAUGAAAUCAAUUGCAUUUUAUUUGUUUUCAUGAUCUUUGCAACAUGUGACUAUUCACUUCAGGUGAAAGGUGAACCAAACAUAUCAUAUAUUUGUUUUCGGUAUUACCGAGAUCCAGAACUCAUCUUUGGGGCCACAUAGUAUACAUCGUCCAUAGAUAUAUGGUCUGCUGGUUGUGUUUUGGCAGAGCUCUUUCUUGGUCAGGUUAGUGUAACUGUAAACUAUUUAUCCAUUAAGUAUCUUGAGAACUAAAGCAUUUCUCCAAUAUCUUUGAUAAUCAAUUGAUAUUACUUAUCUUCAGCCGUUAUUCCCCAGAGAAAAUNNNNNNNNNNNNNNNNNNNNNNNNNNNNNNNNNNNNNNNNNNNNNNNNNNNNNNNNNNNNNNNNNNNNNNNNNNNNNNNNNNNNNNNNNNNNNNNNNNNNNNNNNNNNNNNNNNNNNNNNNNNNNNNNNNNNNNNNNNNNNNNNNNNNNNNNNNNNNNNNNNNNNNNNNNNNNNNNNNNNNNNNNNNNNNNNNNNNNNNNNNNNNNNNNNNNNNNNNNNNNNNNNNNNNNNNNNNNNNNNNNNNNNNNNNNNNNNNNNNNNNNNNNNNNNNNNNNNNNNNNNNNNNNNNNNNNNNNNNNNNNNNNNNNNNNNNNNNNNNNNNNNNNNNNNNNNNNNNNNNNNNNNNNNNNNNNNNNNNNNNNNNNNNNNNNNNNNNNNNNNNNNNNNNNNNNNNNNNNNNNNNNNNNNNNNNNNNNNNNNNNNNNNNNNNNNNNNNNNNNNNNNNNNNNNNNNNNNNNNNNNNNNNNNNNNNNNNNNNNNNNNNNNNNNNNNNNNNNNNNNNNNNNNNNNNNNNNNNNNNNNNNNNNNNNNNNNNNNNNNNNNNNNNNNNNNNNNNNNNNNNNNNNNNNNNNNNNNNNNNNNNNNNNNNNNNNNNNNNNNNNNNNNNNNNNNNNNNNNNNNNNNNNNNNNNNNNNNNNNNNNNNNNNNNNNNNNNNNNNNNNNNNNNNNNNNNNNNNNNNNNNNNNNNNNNNNNNNNNNNNNNNNNNNNNNNNNNNNNNNNNNNNNNNNNNNNNNNNNNNNNNNNNNNNNNNNNNNNNNNNNNNNNNNNNNNNNNNNNNNNNNNNNNNNNNNNNNNNNNNNNNNNNNNNNNNNNNNNNNNNNNNNNNNNNNNNNNNNNNNNNNNNNNNNNNNNNNNNNNNNNNNNNNNNNNNNNNNNNNNNNUUCAAAAUGAAGAAAAUAACCUAUAAUUCCUGGGGGGGGGGGGUUAUUGGGGAGUACACGUUUUCUUAUUGGGUAACAAGUGAUAACAUUGCAGAUUUUAAAAAAAAAAAAUAAGUUAAAUCAAUUUCUCAAUUUGGAAAAAAAUUAAAAAAAUCUCAAAAAGAAAGAAAAAAUUUAUAAAAAAAAACAGCAUAUAUGUAUUUCUACUUGUAAACAUUCUUGAGUGGUGGAAAAAAUAAUACUCAUAUUUUUGUCUAUGUUUGGUGUUGAGGAGAUUCUAUUACAAAAGAUAAAUUUACUUUUAUGGAAGAAAAAUUAGGAAAAAAAUCUAUAUAUACAUUGUUCACUAGACCUAAAACUAUGGAAACUAAUGAAAAAUUCAAAAAAAUCAGGAUUCUUUCUAGUAAUGAUGAAACUUAUUACAAAUAAGAAAGAUACAAGUACAUGUAAUCCCAGCUUACAAUGAACCUGCUCACUACUUAGCAAAAAAAAUCUUUUUCCAACAAUGUUUUCUAUUAUAGUUGGAUUUUUUCCCCUAUCUGGUUAACCCCUCUACUUCAUUGUAAACUUUGUAUAUUCUUCACUUUCUGGUCAGUAUAUAUGCUUCUUGUAAAAUUACAUGUAAUCCCAGUUUCCCACUCCAAAACCAAACUUCCACACAUCAAGCCAGCAAUCUGAAAUAUAAACCAUCAUAGACAUAAACCUUAGAGCUAACACUGUUCUCAUUCUUAAACCCUCUAAUCAGCUGUACCUCAAUAUCAUGGUAUCUCCAUGUGUCUUUAUCAUCCUCGUAAUUACCUGAGACGAUAAUGCUGGUGGCUAUCGGUUCAUCUCUCCACCGAGCACAGUUCAUGACGGUAAAAGAACACGUCGCCGAUCUCAACACCACUGAUUGAACCCACUAAGUAUUUACCCUGGGGUUGAGAUAGGCGACAUGUUCUUUUACUGUCAUGAACUGUGCUCUCAGUGGGCUUACACAGCCAGCUACAACGUAGCUCCAAAGGUGAACCGAUUGCCACCAGAAUUGUCGUCUCAGGUAAUUUGAGGAUGAUGAUGACGUACGUGGCUUUUUACCUUAGUCCCAGCAAAGAACCAAAUGUGCUAUUACGGAAACUACUCAGUUACAGAUGGUGAGCUUCACGUUCAGUUCAUCGACGACCCAUAGUCCAGGCUUAGCUCCGAUAACAAGGGAACAUCAAAAGAAAAAAAAAACAUUAUUGGAGCUAAGCCUGGACUAUGGGUUAGCAGAUGAUCUGAACGGGAAGCUUGCCAUCUGUAACUGAGUACUUUCCUUGUUUCUGUAUUUUUCUUUAUGUCUUUACUAAGAUAGCUCUCCUGGAUGCUAUAGCUUGAGGUAAUUUCUCAAAUAAAUGUUCUUUCUACAUCUCUUAUCAUAUGAGUCUCAAUGUCUGUACCAAUUGCAUACUCACAUGCCAAAGUCUUUACUAUAUUUGAGUAUUUCCGAAAUUUUUCAGUAUUCUCCCUCUCUGUUUUGCUCCCAUGGCAUUUCUGUCUUGCUUUAGCUAGGGUUAAUAUCUCAAAUCAAUGUUCUUGCAACUCCCCAUCUCUUAUCAUUGGAGUCUCAUUGUCUGUACCAUUUGCUAGUUCACAUGCCAAAGUUUUACCGUUUUAGAGUUUUCCAUAAAUGCAAUCAUUUUGUAUUCUCUCUCUCUCUCUCUCUCUCUCUCUCUUUUGCUCCUAUGGCAUUAAUCUGUUGCAACAAUGAUGCAGAUGGAGAAUAUUUUGACAAAACAUAAACCUUUCUCUGCUCGUUCGCUGUUCUGUCUUUUCUUCUCUCUGCGAUAUCUGCAAGGCAAGAUAAAUGUUAUUUCUACAUCUCUUAUCAUAGGAGUCUCAUUGUCUGUACUUGCAUGCUCACUUGCAAAAGUCUUACUAUAUUUGAGUAUUUCUGAAAUUUGUUUGCUUGCUAAAUUAAACCAAUCGCAUUCAGUGAAGAAUUAAGGUAGAUUCCAUUUUCAAAACCAGACCCAUUUAUUGUGAUAGAUAAAUACAUAUUUGGUAAGUUACAAACAAAAGAAAUGAAAAUUGCCGUAAGUAAAAAGGAAGAAGAAAUGAAAUAUCUAUCACACUACAAGACAUGUUUGGACCACACAAAAACUCAGGGUUUAAUAGUUUGAUCGUGUGUGGUCAAAAUAACAUCUUUUUGAUUUUUUACUUUUACAUUUGAUCUAUAUUGUGUGGUAUCAACCAAUGUUCUAUUUGUUUUACAAAGACCGAUAUGAGUCUCUUUCAGAAUUUUAUUCUACAUUUCAUAAUUCUUAUAGCAAAAGUUCACAAUAUCUUUUUUUGUUUGUCAUUCAUUUUAAUUUGUAGGCUGAGCUCAAAAUUUCUCGAAAAAAUUGUCGUAACAGUAUGGAGGCAGAAGCUAUAACUCUUCUUUGGAUCAUGACACAUUUGGAUAAUCUUGGCUAUGAAGAGGUAAUUUUCGAGAGUGAUUCAAAGAUAUUGGUGAAAGCGGUAAAAGCUGAACCUCGAGAAUGGUCAAGGUUUAUAGUCUAUACUAAAGAAAUCAACAAGACAAGAAAAAUAUUAAUUCGACCAACCAUCACUCACUUUCCAAUGAAGACGAGCCAACUAAUGUGUUGAUCUUACAGCCAAUAAAACCUUUUCAUAUCAAGUUCAUUAUGCAUUCUUGAUUAGUAUCUUUGGUUGAAACAAAUUUAAUAUGAAAUAUGUUUAUGCUCGAAAAAACAAGAAAAAUUUGGCAUUAUGUUAAAAUGAUGAUAACUCUCCUAAAUGAACAACAACAAAAAAUGGAUGACAACUCCUGGAUUACUGGUUUCGAUUCUAUACUAUUACAUUUCGGUUAUAUUCUCAUUUUCAGUUAACUUUUCCAUUAUGUUAUAACAUGUUAUGACGUCAAAAAUAAAUUAUAACGUGAUAUACUAUAACAAACGAUAGAACUAUUAAAGUGGCAAUAAUAAGAUGAUGCAAGAAUCUGAUCCGAUACUACAGCAAAUAGAUAUUUGUCACUGGUCAUACUUUUUUAGCAUAAUAAUAAUAAAAAGUUUAUGAACAAGCUGUGCUUGGGUAUGCCUAGAUAUUCUAAGCAAGUUGUUACAGAUAAGGACAUAUUCCUUAUUAGAUCUUAGGCAAUAUUCUCGUAUAUUCUCUUAGACGUCUAUACCUAAUGUCUUGUAACUAUAUAUACCUUUGUAUGUUAUGAAUAAACUCAACGAGUUCGAUACACUUUGGCAUGGUAUCAGAGCCGUCAAACUAAAUAAAACCUAAACACAAUUUUCUUCUCUUCAACGCUAUCAAUCAUGGCAAACCAAGCUGCUGUGAUUCCUGAACCUACCUCUACCGAUAAAGAUGCUGUUACUGCAUCACCUUACUACCUUCACCCCUCAGAUCAUCCUCACCAGAUCCUCACACCGAUGCUGUUAACUGGUGAAAACUACGAACGAUGGGCGAAACUCACUCGCAACAACCUACGAGCCAAGCAAAAACUUGGUUUCAUCGAUGGUACCCUAACCAAGCCAUCAUCUACCUCUUCCGAUUACUCUCGCUGGGUACAGAUCAAUUCCAUGUUGGUCGGUUGGCUAUACGCUAGUCUGGAUCCUCGUGUUCAGAAAGCGAUCUCUGUAGUUGACGACGCGAAGGUGAUGUGGGAGAAUCUAAAGAACCGGUACUCUGUUGGUAACGCUUCGCGUGUUCAUCAACUCAAAGCUGAUAUUGUUUCCUGUCUGCAAACGGGUCAGACAGUUGCUGACUACUUUGGCAAACUCAAGGUUAUGUGGGAUGAUCUCGAUGACUAUGAACCUUUACUCUCCUGUUGCUGUGACAAUGCUACCUGUCCUAUUGGUGUCAAGCACUCCACUCGGCGUGAACAGGAGCGCAUCCAUCAGUUCCUGAUGGGUCUCGAUGGUGCAAAGUUUGGCACUACUCGCACCAAUAUUCUUGGACGCCUUAACCGCGAUGACGGUCUAAACUUAGACAACAUCUACUCUGAGAUCGUUGCGGAAGAACGCCAUCUAACUGUCGCUCGAAGCAAAGAAGAACGGAUCGAUGCUAUAGGGCUUGCUGUUCAGUCUGGAGUAAAUGCCAUUGCUUCAGUCACACGCAACAACAACACCGGUCCCUGCACUCACUGUGGACGAACAAACCACAGCGCUGAUACCUGCUUCAAGCUUCAUGGAGUUCCUGAAUGGUAUACCGAGAAGUAUGGGGAUUCAGGUCGUGGUCGUGGUGGAAGACAAAACAGUUCUCGCGGCAGAGGAAAAGGACGUGGAUCCACAUACCGAGCUAACAAUGCUCAACUGCAAUCUGAUGGUGAUUUUCCCGAUCUUCCUGGCGUGAGCAAAGAGACCUGGACCGCCAUCAUCAACCUCCUCAAACCUGACAACUCUUCCUCUAAUGAAAAACUAUCUGGUAACAUCGAUUAUCUCUUGGACUCUGGAGCUUCCCAUCACAUGACGGGAUACUUGGAUUUACUUUCUGAUGUUCAUAAUAUAUCUACUGGCAUUGUUGUACUACCUAACGGCAAACACACGUUUGCAACUAAAGAAGGCACUUUGACUCUUGGUGGAACAAUGACUCUCUACCGAGUCUUAUUUGUUCCUGAUCUAAACUGUACUCUGAUUUCUGUCGCACGCUUACUGCGUGAGUUACACGGUUUUGCCCUAUUCACUGACAAGUUAUGCUUGAUACAGGACCGCACUUCGAAGAUGCUGAUUGGAGUCGGUGAAGAGGACAAUGGGGUUUAUAACUUGAGAGGAACGGUUUCAGCAAGUGCACACAAGGUCGAGCAAGUUGAUAGCAAGGCGUUAUGGCAUCUCUGGUUGGGCCAUCCCUCCAAGAACGUUUUAUCCAGUUUUUUUUAAAACUUAGGCGAUUUAUCUAGUAGUAGCAGUAGUGAUCUCAAAGAAACCUGUGAUGUUUGCAUUCGUGGAAAACAAACACGAGCUGUUUUUUCUGAAAGUCUUAAUAAAGCUGAUGAUUGUUUCUCACUUAUCCACUGCGACAUUUGGGGCCCCUACAAAAUAGCAUCUACUUGUGGUGCUCAUUAUUUCCUCACCAUAGUCGAUGAUCAUUCUAGGGCUGUUUGGAUACAUCUAUUACUGGCAAAGAGUGAAGUAUCAACAGUGCUUCAAAACUUUAUAGCCAUGGCCGAAAGACAAUUUAAGAAAACUGUCAAGACGAUUAGGAGUGACAAUGGUAGCGAGUUCCUUGGGCUUCGAUCUUAUUUUGCUACCAAAGGCAUCCUACAUCAAACUUCAUGCGUCUACACUCCUCAACAGAAUGGACGCGUGGAACGUAAACACCGACAUAUUCUUGAUAUGGCUCGGACUCUUCUUUUUCAAGCUGAGCUUCCUACUAAAUUUUGGGGCGAAAGUGUUCUAACAGCUGCGUACCUCAUUAAUCGAACACCAACGCCUUUGCUUGCUGGAAAAGCACCUUAUGAAGUCCUUCAUUCUAAGCCACCAAUCUAUGAUCAUAUUCGCGUUUUCGGUUGUCUGUGUUACGCAAAGAAACAUACCUCUAUCAAAGACAAGUUUCAAGAACGCGGUCGUCGCUGCAUCUUCAUCGGCUACCCCCACGGUCAAAAAGGAUGGCGUGUUCUUGAUCUCGAAACUCAUGAUACCUUUGUUUCUAGAGACGUCAUCUUCAAAGAGAAUGAGUUUCCUUAUGCUCCUUCUCAGCCAGUAACUGUCGACGUCGUCCCUCCAUCCAUUCCACCAGUUACAGUUUUUGUCGAUGAUGAGAUUUCUCCUUUAUCUCUCACUCUACCAAGCAGGGGGAGCACUGAACCGAGUUUAGUCGCCACUGGAGAACCUGACACUUCUACAGCUCUUCCACCUAACAACGCUGUCUCACCAUUGCCAGCGGUUGUCGACACUACACCACCGGUUAUUCCUGUUGAACAGCUAGGUCGCGGUUUCCGAGAACGUCGACCAUCUACUCGACUUGCACCAUACGAACUCUACUCAGUUCGCAGUGAUAUAAACCCUAUUCCUCUUCCACCAACGUCUUCGUCAGUAUCUUCUGGUAAGUGUCGUUAUCCUUUAGCUAACUUUGUUACUUGUGAAAGGUUCUCGGAGAAUCAUCAGAUUUUCAUGGCCGCUGUCUGCCUCAAUGAUGUUCCUCGUACUUAUGCUCAAGCUGCCAAAGAUGAAAAAUGGCGUAAUGCAGUUUCCUUUGAGUACAAUGCACUCGAAGAUCAACAUACUUGGGAUGUCACCAAAUUACCGCCUGGCGUCAAAGCGCUUGGAUCAAAGUGGGUAUUUCGCAUCAUGUAUAGGUCUGACGGUUCCAUCGAACGCUACAAAGCGAGGCUCGUCGCUCUUGGCAAUCAUCAAACCGAAGGUCUCGAUUUUAAUGAGACUUUUGCUCCUGUCGUUAAAAUGCCAACCGUCCGUCUGCUUCUUGAUGUUGCUGCAGCCAAGAAUUGGGAGCUCCAUCAAAUGGACGUCCACAACGCUUUCCUGCACGGUGAUUUAAAAGAAGAUAUCUACAUUUAAACUUGCUUAUUCUACCAGUGCGCCUUACCAUGAUCCUGCUCAAUAUCGGAGACUUGUAGGACGGCUUGUUUUUCUCACUCACACAAAACCUGAGAUUUCCUAUGCCGUGAACAUUCUCACUCAGUUCAUGCAUACGCCACUUACUGACCAUUGGCUCGCCGCUCUUCGAGAGGUUAUCUGGUUCUUCACAUUAUUGUCUAUGUCGAUGAUCUCGUUAUCUGUGGGAAUGAUUCUUCUGUCAUCGCCAAGUUCAAACAGUAUCUCAGCACAUGCUUCAAAAUGAAAGACCUUGGUACUUUGAAAUAUUUCUCGGCAUUGAAGUUGCCCGCAGCCCCGAAGGUAUCUAUCUCUCUCAAAGGAAGUAUUGUNNNNNNNNNNNNNNNNNNNNNNNNNNNNNNNNNNNNNNNNNNNNNNNNNNNNNNNNNNNNNNNNNNNNNNNNNNNNNNNNNNNNNNNNNNNNNNNNNNNNCGGUUACAUCGUUCUUCUUGGAGAUUCUCAUGUGUCAUGGAAAACUAAAAAGCAAGAUACAGUGGCACGUUCUUCUACUGAGGCCGAGUAUCGGGCCAUGUCUAUGGCGUGUCAGGAGUUGUUAUGGGUAAAAGAGGUUCUCAUUUCUCUCGGUAUCAGUCAUGAUCAGCCUAUGAAGCUAGUUUGCGACAGUAAAUCUGCUCUUCAUAUCGCCUCCAACCCUGUCUUCCACGAGCGCACAAAACACAUUGAAUCUGAUUGCCACUUUAUCCGAGACGAGGUCACUGCUGGUAAUCUGGUUUUAUCUCAUGUAUCAACUAAAGAACAGCCUGCAGAUAUCUUUACUAAAGCCUUAGGUCGACAACAAUUUCGUUUUCUUAGAGGCAAGUUGGGCGUUUGUGAUCUGCACGCUCCAACUUGAGGGGGAGUGUUACAGAUAAGGACAUAUUCCUUAUUAGAUCUUAGGCAAUAUUCUCGUAUAUUCUCUUAGACGUCUAUACCUAAUGUCUUGUAACUAUAUAUACCUUUGUAUGUUAUGAAUAAACUCAACGAGUUCGAUACACUUUGCGACUUGCUUUGGCACAAGUCGGUCACAAAUACAAAUAUAUACAUUCUGAAAAGGUACCAAACAGAUAUCUAGAAACCUCCUCCACCACCACCACCACCACCACCGCAACCUCCUCCUCCACCACAGCCGCCUCCACCGCCAGACGCUCCAGCAUAUGGUCUAUGUUUCCUCUCAUUUUUUUAGAUUUUUUUUUCACCGUUUCAAACAAAUACGGCCAUGGCUAUUACGGAGAUGGUGGCUGCAACCGCCAAUAUUCCCCAAACUAAACCAAAGCCACUGGUUGGACUUGGAACGUCGGUCAAUAUGCUGCUCGCCAUAUUCUCUUGUGUGUAUUUUGGUUAAGUUUGAGAUUUUGAUUCGGUUUUAAUUUGUGUAUAAAAAGCAUUAUUUGUAGGUAAUUCUUUGAAUGGACAAUGUUGGCUUACCGCUUACGUUACGUGUGUCGGUAUAUGGUUACGUAAGAGUAAUAUGUAAAAAUCUACUGGUUUCUUUGAUGUCAUAUAAGAAAAUUUUGGUUCAUUCAAGGUGGCUACUUUUCAACGUGCUUUAAGAUUUGGUUCAAUAUAAGCGAUGCUUAAAAGUCUUAUGAUAAGGUCCCUCUGGCUACUUUUCAACGUGCUUUAACAUUUGGUUCAAUAUGAGGGAUGCUUAAUAGUCUUAUGAUAAGGUCCCUGGACUUUGGUACAUGGAUGGUCGUAAUCCAUAUCUUGGAAAAUUUUGUUUACUAAUUCAUUAGUUGGCUUUUGAAAAUUUUGAAACAAUUUUUUUUUAAAAAAAAAACAGACUUCGCAUAAUAUUAGAUUCUGAAUUUAGUUGAUAUUUUUAUGUGUAGACCUUUGUGGAACCAAUCCAUUUAUUUUAGGAGCUUGAUAUAGUUGUUAGAUUAGCAAGCAUGUUCAAUAUAUAUAUAGAUUGGUUGGUAAAGUAAAUCAGUCAUAAUUGGUGAAGACCUAAGGUAUAUUCUUUUUUUUUUGGUCAAAACCUAAAAGUUUAUUCAUUUUCUAAAUCAAAAACAUUUAUUAUGAUAGAUAUUUGGCUAGUGGAUAGUGGAUAUGCUCGUAUUCAUAUAAUAAUCGAAUGAUGUUUGUAUACAUGUAAGUCGUCCGCAUUUAAUUUUCUAAACCAAAACCUUUUAUGAUCAACGAGAUUUUGGUUUGUAUAUGCUGAAUUUGCUGAUCGAAUGUAUUCGUAUAAUAGUCAAAUGAUGUUUGUAUACAUGCAAAACUUCCACAACAUAUAUCUUUAAGGUGAAGGUAAUAUCGGUCGCGUUUUCAUUCUACAGUUCGUUAAUUUUUCUUUUAUCCAAUUCCUAGGUGGAGGCCAGAAUUUCUGAAAUAUGUUUCACACCGGCUUUAUAUUAUAGAAGCUACGAAGAACAUAACAACACAUUACUAUACUAUCAUAUUUAUCUAACAUUAAUAAAAAAGAAGAAGUUAUAACAUUAUAUAUAAAAAGGUGAAGUCUCAUUUUGAUUUAGAGUUUACCUUGGCGUCAUUGUAGAAAAAUCCUAAAAUCUAAUAGAUUUGUCAUUUUGAUUAAUCUUUCGUUCUGUUUAGGUUCUUGGUACUCCAACUACAAAGAAAUCAAAGACCACUGAUAGAUACUAUCUCGACACAGAGGCAGACGACAGCGAAAUUGAAUUAAACUUUACCGAUUGUUGGCUUUUGUUCAUGAAUUUAGCCUUUCUCCUUUGAAUCUCUGUGUAGUCUUUGAUUCAAAUGUAUAUUUUGUUGUUGGUAGUCUUAAUCAUUUUGAUAAACGAAGUCUACUAUUAGACUUCUUUCUCUCUUUAGUAGACUUCGUCAGAGAGAAAACGGUAAUUAGGACAUCCGUUUUUUGUUUAAUCAUACAGGAUUAAAUGGUCUUUUCACUACCCCUGCAGGUUAUAUCUGCCAAAUGUUUUUUCAGGGAUCUACUUUUGUAUUCAAAAUCAAGUUUUGGGUUAUUUUUAGCAAAAACUCCAAUAUAUUUAUAUAGCUAUAUAUACACCUCUCAGAUACUAGGUUUUAUUGUAUUUAACUUUAGGUCUUUAAUAUACGUCUUGCUCUUCUUAAUACAUUGUUAAUCGUUGUAUCACUGUUUUAGGAUAUGUCGAUUGAAUUAGUGCUCUCUUUCUGUUCUUUUUCGUAGUUUUCAAUUACACUUGGGUAUAUGUCUGAUUUUGGUUCAUGUGUGCUUUUAAAUUAUGAGUGAAGGAAUGGUUAUUCUUCUUUCUUUUUUUUCUGCUCUUGAAGCAACCUUCGUCUCCACAUAAUGAUUUUUUUUGUUUGGCUCUUGAAGCAACCUUCCUCUCUUAUCUAACGAGGUUUAUCUCAACUUUUUGUGUUUUGCGGAUUAAGCUAUGAGUUUCUCUAGGUAGUUGCUGUUGUUUUUUUUUUCUUUAUGGUUCGCUGCUAAUAUAUUGAGUAGUUAAUUAGCAGUUUUUCACCUUUUGUUCGUUGUUUAUUGUAGUUUUUAUGUUCAUUUAGUGAUUGAUGGGAGGUUUGUUCAUGGUUAUGCUCUUCUAGGUUGCUUUCUCUGUUUGGAAUAUGCGUCUGGUUUGUCAAAAACUAAUUAAUCACUCCGAUGAUAAAUGAAUCUACACAUAAUUGUUUCGUUGAGUAUCAUACGAAGUGUUCACUCUAGCUACCAAUGCUAAAUGCUCACAAGAAUGUGAAAAAGAUAGUAAUAUGACACAAGACAAAUGUAAAUAACGCUAAUUAAUCAAACAAAUAAAAUAAACUUAAACAUCUUAACAUCAUGAUCAAAUCUAAAACAUCCUUACUUCUGAUAUGAUCGUGACCAGCUCAGAGGAGGAGGAACCAGAGGUAGCUGGCAGGAUCACUCGUUCCAGAGCUAGAGAGAUGGCUAAGGAGGCUCACGCACUCAUUGCCACAGAGGACAGCGAUCACCAGGAGGCUGGAGCUCACAUCUUCAACAUCUCUAUCUUGAAGAAUGAAGAACCCAGUAACAAUGACUAGGUAACUUAGGUGAUGAUUCUGUACUCUUUUCCUUGGUGAGGAUUUUGGAAGGCAAGGAGGUUCUUCUCCAAGGUUUUUAACGAGGCAGAAAUCAUUGCUACGUCGAGUUACUUAGAAGUUGUUACUAAUGGGUAAUAAUGUGCAAAGUCACAAUGACUUGUGCACUUAGUAUCUUGGCGCACCACUUAGGAAUUUAGGGACGCCUCGCUGUUUUAUUUUUUUAAAUCAAACUUCUUGUUGUUUUUAUUUCAGACUUCAUGUAGUUUGUUUCUUAGGGCUGCGAUUUCUCUCUAAGUCUAUUUAAGAGAGAAAAUCGCCUAUGUCAUAUUCAGUGAAGAAUUUUGAUCAAACUUUUAACGUGUUCUUCUCUCUUUUUGAUUUCUGAGAACUAAAAACUCUGAAAUUCGAAUCUCUUAAAAACUAAUCUGUUUACAAGAGAUUCUUCUAUCUUAUCAUCCCACCAUCAUCACCAUCGAUCUGCCGAGCCACCAUCAUCUCCAUCGAUCCGCCACACCACCAUCGCACAUCCACGAUUCGAUCUGCCGAGUCUCCACCAUCAUCCCUCAUCGUCGCGAGCCAUCCUCGUAUCACUACCACUAUCCUUUUCGCUUCAUCGUUUCAGUCUAUCCACCAUAUCGCCGCAUCCAUUGUUCUUUGCUUCAGAGUAGAUCACCUUGGAUCGUAUCACGUGGUAUCAGAGCCAACUCUGAACCAAAGGCUGAGCGAAACUCUAACCCUAAUCUCUGUGCUUUGAAUUUUCGUCUCUGUGAUAUUAGGGUUAGCGAGUUUUGUGACUGUGUGCAUCGAUUUGAUUCCUUUUGUUUCAUAUCAUCGCAUCGUUCCCUCUUGUUUUGUGUUUAGGAUCGAUCGCUGUUAGGAUUCCUGUUAGAUCGUAUUCGUCUCAAGUUUAUUUCGAGUCUGAUUGUUUUUCGAGUCUGCUCAUUCAUUGUUUUCGUUCGGAUCGAUACGAGUCUGCGUGUAGUCGUGUUCUUAGGGUUUGUUAAGAGUCUGCGCGACUUCGUUAGGUUUGUUAGGGUUUCGUGAUCUCGUAACUCGUUUGUUAGUGUGUUAGGGAUUCGUUAGUCUUCGAUUUUUGUUGUUAGGCCUCGUUUUUCAUCGUUUUUUUUUCGUGUAGGCUUGUUAGGAAAUCUUUUUUUGUGAUUUCUGUUAAGUUUAGUAAAAAAAAAAAAAAAAAAAAAAAAAAAAAAAAAAUUUCGUUAAAUUUCAUUAGUUUCGUUAAGUUUGUUUUUAGAUUUCGUGGGGAUCUUUUAAUUUUUUUUUAUGAUGCGUUUAGUUUUGCUGUUUUUGUGAUUCCUUCUAGAACAAGUUACUGCGAGUUUUUUUAAAAUUUUCAGGUACCAUGGAGCUUUCGGCUGAGGCGAUGGAAGCUCUGAACCGAGCAAUGUCUCAACAAAUUAAAGAAGCAAAUCAGGCCAUAGCAACUCAGCUCACACAACAAAUCGAACAACUCAAUGACAAGUUCGAGACGAAGAUGACUGAUCUGCUCAAAGACCUCAGCGCAAGUGGAGAAGAGUCGUCUCAAACUCCAACUCCUUCGGAAGCAAUGCGCUUAGCAAAGGGUAAAGGGCACAUAGGAUCUUCCCGAAAACUUCCACGCCACCCAACACCUUUCGAAGCCAGGACUAAAGCUAAGUCCAGUCGAAGCCAGAUUGGGGGCAGAGAGACUACGUUUAAUCCGAGGAGGAAUCUUACUGGUGCAGAACGAGAUGGCCCAAGGGUAGAUCGUCAGCACCGCCGAGAGGAAUAUAUUGCUGGGCAUCGAGUUACCCUGGAAUCAGACCCAGAAUACUAUGAGGAGGACGAAGCUUCUGAUCAUAGCAGAGAAACUGUGAGACGAGAUCGAGGCCGAGGACAUGGUCGAGAUUAUGAUCCUCUACGACAGCAGCUGCGUCAUAUCAAAAUCCAGUAUCCUCCUUUCCAUGGAACUAAUGAUCCCGAAGCUUAUUUAGAUUGGGAAAGGAAGAUGGAGUCUAAUUUUCUGGUCCAAGGAACUUACGAGCUCAACAAGGUGAAGAUUGCAGUCUCGGAAUUUCAUGGGUAUGCGCUUCUAUGGUGGGAGCAGUUGGGAGUCACCAGAAAUCGCUUGAGGGAACUUCCGAUUACUACUUGGGAGCAGCUCGUUAUACAGAUGAGGAAGCGGUUCGUUCCGGCCCAUCAUCAGCGCGAGAUACUCAACAAGCUUAGGCGCCUUGUCCAAGGUACGAAGUCUGUUCGAGAUUAUUAUCAAGAAUUGGAAACUUUGCUCAUUCGUGCAGAUUUACGAGAAGACGAAGAGAUGGUAAUGUCGAGAUUUCUUGGAGGACUUAACCGAGAAAUUCAAGACAAGGUGGAACUUCAGGAUUUCGCAGAUAUACAAGAGAUGGUGCAUAAGGCUGAAUUGGUGGAAUCUCAAGUCAAGAGGCAAAAUUUCAAGUCCACAUUCACGCCUAGUGUGCCUAAGCCUAAGGAGAUCAGCAAGCCAGCUUACUCCAGAGACAUCAAACCGCCAUCUACUGGAGUUAAAGAAGAAACUAAAGCUGAGUUCAAGCCUCGAGGUGGCACUUCUAUCAGCAAUGUGAGGUGUUUCAAAUGUCAAGGAAUGGGACAUUACUCUCGAGAUUGCCCAAACAAGAAGGUUUUCUUGUUACAUGAGGGAGGAGAGAUAGUUCCUCAAGAGGAUUCAGAGGCCGAAUAUGAAUUAGAGGAAGAGGAAGAAGCUGCUGCUGUGGGCGAGAUGCUGGUUGCCAGAAGGACUUUGAGUGUUCAGAGUCAACCUGAAGAGACUUGUCAGCGAGAGAACCUGUUCUAUACGAGAUGCUUCAUUCAUGGAAAAGUUUGUAGCCUGAUCAUAGAUGGAGGAAGUUGUACUAAUGCUGCAAGCGAAGAGAUGGUUAAGAAGCUCCAGCUCAAGACUAUUCCUCAUCCAAGGCCGUAUAAGCUUCAGUGGUUGAAUGACAGUGGAGCCUUGACCGUAUCUCAGCAAGUGAUGGUUUCUCUAUCCAUUGGGAAGUAUGAAGAUGAGAUUCUAUGUGACGUCAUUCCCAUGGGUUCGAGUCAUGUGUUGCUAGGCAGACCGUGGCAAUCAGAUCGUAGGGUGAUACACGACGGUUACACCAACAAGCACUCAUUCGAGUUCAAAGGUCGCAAAAUUACCCUCCUACCUCUCACGCCUACCGAGAUUUAUCAAGAUCAAGUUCAAAUGAAGCUCAAGGAGAAGGAGAAAGUCGCCAACAGCCUCUACAUAAACCACAGUGAAUUUUCUAAACUCUUUGAUCCUGAAAUGACUACUUUUAUGUUUGUGUACAAGGAAUCCCUUGUUAGUACUAACCCUUCACAGGAGCUUCCUAGUGCUAUGUUUGAGAUUUUGCAGGAAUACAAGGACGUUUUUCCAGUAGAAAUUCCACCAGGGCUACCUCCAAUUCGCGGGAUUGAGCAUCAGAUUGACUUGGUACCAGGAUCAGCCUUACCUAACAGGCCAGCAUACCGAACCAACCCUGUAGAGACUAAGGAGCUUCAAAAGCAAGUGGAGGAGCUGAUGAGCAAAGGCCAUAUCCGAGAAAGCUUGAGUCCCUGUGCGGUUCCAGUUCUGUUGGUGCCAAAGAAGGAUGGUUCCUGGAGGAUGUGUGUAGACUGCCGAGCUAUCAACAACAUCACUGUGAAGUAUCGGCAUCCGAUCCCAAGGCUAGAUGAUAUGUUGGAUGAGCUCUGUGGGUCGACAAUCUUCUCUAAGAUCGACUUGAAGAGUGGAUAUCAUCAGAUCAGAAUGAAGGAAGGGGAUGAGUGGAAGACGGCAUUCAAGACAAAGCAGGGACUCUACGAGUGGCUAGUUAUGCCGUUUGGCCUCACCAAUGCUCCCAGCACCUUCAUGAGACUAAUGAACCAUGCCCUGAGACCAUUCAUUAGCGUGUUCGUAGUGGUUUAUUUUGACGAUAUCCUCAUCUACAGUAAAGGUUUGGAAGAACAUCUAGAUCACAUCAGAUCGGUUCUUGAUGUUCUUCGCUCUCAAUCUCUCUUUGCUAAUUUAUCUAAAUGUUCAUUCUGCACUAACGAGAUUGUUUUCUUAGGCUUUGUAGUAAGUGCAGGAGGAGUUAAAGUAGAUGAAGAGAAGAUAAAAGCUAUCAAGGAGUGGCCAACCCCCAAGAAUAUUGGAGAAGUCCGAAGUUUCCAUGGCUUAGCAGGAUUCUACAGGCGUUUUGUUCGUGAUUUCAGCACCAUAGCCGCGCCUUUAACCGAAGUAAUCAAGAAAGACGUGGGGUUCAAGUGGGGAGAGGCGCAAGAACAGGCUUUUACAGCCCUUAAAGAGAAGCUUAUCAAUUCGCCCUUACUAGUACUUCCUGAUUUUACUAAGACUUUUGAGAUUGAAUGCGAUGCUUCUGGUGUAGGUAUUGGAGCAGUUCUUAUGCAGGAUAAGAAGCCCGUCGCUUACUUCAGCGAAAAGUUAGGAGGAUCAACGCUGAAUUAUCCCACGUAUGAUAAGGAGUUAUACGCAUUGGUUCGAGCUCUCCAGACGUGGCAGCAUUACCUAUGGCCUAAGGAAUUCGUCAUUCAUACCGAUCACGAGUCCUUAAAGCACCUCAAGGGUCAGCAGAAGCUUAACAAAAGACAUGGGCGAUGGAUGGAGUUCAUUGAGACAUUCCCCUACAUUGUUAAGUACAAAAAAGGUAAAGAUAAUGUGGUCUCAGACGCAUUAUCCCGGAGGUACACUCUUGUUUCGACUUUAACAUCAAAGUUGAUUGGAUUUGAGCAUAUUAUAGAUCUUUAUGAAUCUGAUACUGACUUUUCUGAGAGCUAUGCCAAAUGUCAUAAGUUUGCCUGUGAGAAAUUUUAUAGACAGGAUGGAUACUUGUUCUUCAGUAACCGAUUGUGCAUACCACGAGGAUCCAUUCGAGAGUUAUUGGUACGAGAAGCUCAUGGAGGUGGAUUAGCUGGACAUUUUGGUGUUACAAAGACACUUCUUGGACUACAAGAGCACUUCUACUGGCCGAACAUGAAGAAGGACGUUGAGAAAAUCUGCUCUAGAUGUGUCGUAUGUAAGAUGGCUAAGAGUAAAGUUCAACCUCACGGUUUGUAUACUCCUUUGCCUAUUCCUUCUCAACCUUGGACUAAUAUCUCUAUGGAUUUUGUAGUUGGCUUACCUCGCACCAGAAAUGGUAGAGAUUCUAUUUUUGUAGUUGUUGACAGGUUUAGCAAGAUGGCUCACUUCAUCGCUAGCCACAAGACAGAUGAUGCUGUGAAUGUAGCUAACUUGUUUUUCAGGGAAGUAGUACGACUGCAUGGAAUGCCACAGGUUAUCGUUUCAGAUCGAGACACGAAGUUCUUAGGACACUUUUGGCGAACGCUUUGGGCUAAGCUGGGAACAAAGCUCUCAUUCUCAACUACGUGUCAUCCUCAGACCGAUGGACAGACCGAGGUGGUGAAUAGAACGUUGUCCACACUUCUAAGGACUUUGGUGAAAAGUAACCUCAAGACAUGGGAAGAGUGCCUGCCUCAUGUCGAGUUUGCUUACAAUCACGCUAAGCAUUCUGCUACUCUCUUUUCUCCUUUUGAAAUUGUAUAUGGGUUUAAUCCACAAUCACCUCUAGACUUGAUCCCUUUGCCUUUAAGUGGAAAAUUCAGUUUGAAUGGCAAGGAGAAAGCUGAACAGGUCAGAAGAAUUCAUGCUAAGGCUAAGGAGAAUAUCGAGAAAAAGACAAAGCAGUAUGAGAAGCAUGCCAACAAAGGACGAAAGGAACUGAUUUUCGAAGAAGGAGAUCUGGUGUGGAUCCAUCUGAGGAAGGAGCGAUUUCCAGCUGAGCGAAAGAACAAGCUAAUGCCCAGAGUUGAUGGACCAUUCACAGUCAUCAAAAGAAUCAACAACAACGCCUAUCAGAUUGAUCUUCAAGGUAAGUAUGAUGUUUCUGAUACGUUCAAUGUUUCUGACUUGCUUCCUUUUGUUGCAGAUUCAGGUUUGAGGGCAAAUCCUUUUCAAGAGGGAGAGGAUGAUAUGAUCGUGACCAGCUCAGAGGAGGAGGAACCAGAGGUAGCUGGCAGGAUCACUCGUUCCAGAGCUAGAGAGAUGGCUAAGGAGGCUCACGCACUCAUUGCCACAGAGGACAGCGAUCACCAGGAGGCUGGAGCUCACAUCUUCAACAUCUCUAUCUUGAAGAAUGAAGAACCCAGUAACAAUGACUAGGUAACUUAGGUGAUGAUUCUGUACUCUUUUCCUUGGUGAGAAUUUUGGAAGGCAAGGAGGUUCUUCUCCAAGGUUUUUAACGAGGCAGAAAUCAUUGCUACGUCGAGUUACUUAGAAGUUGUUACUAAUGGGUAAUAAUGUGCAAAGUCACAAUGACUUGUGCACUUAGUAUUUUGGCGCACCACUUAGGAAUUUAGGGACGCCUCGCUGUUUUAUUUUUUUUAAAUCAAACUUCUUGUUGUUUUUAUUUCAGACUUCAUGUAGUUUGUUUCUUAGGGCUGCGAUUUCUCUCUAAGUCUAUUUAAGAGAGAAAAUCGCCUAUAUCAUAUUCAGUGAAGAAUUUUGAUCAAACUUUUAACGUGUUCUUCUCUCUUUUUGAUUUCUGAGAACUAAAAACUCUGAAAUUCGAAUCUCUUAAAAACUAAUCUGUUUACAAGAGAUUCUUCUAUCUUAUCAUCCCACCAUCAUCACCAUCGAUCCGCCGAGCCACCAUCAUCUCCAUCGAUCCGCCACACCACCAUCGCACAUCCACGAUUCGAUCUGCCGAGUCUCCACCAUCAUCCCUCAUCGUCGCGAGCCAUCCUCGUAUCACUACCACUAUCCUUUUCGCUUCAUCGUUUCAGUCUAUCCACCAUAUCGCCGCAUCCAUUGUUCUUUGCUUCAGAGUAGAUCACCUUGGAUCGUAUCAACUUCUAUCUAACAAAUGAAACAUUACCAUAUGCCUUAUGUUGUUAGCUUGUGUUAUGACCUCCGAUCGGACUCUGAUCCUUAACGUUAUAUACUUAUAUAUAUGGUUCUGUCCGACUUAUAAGCACUACAUAUAUGAUUCCCAGGAAUAACUCAUGGAAUCAGGGUUUCAGUUGUGCCAAAACAAAUAAAGCUCCACACAAAUUUCUAUAAAGACCAGGAACACACAUGUUCAGUGAAAGAGAACAGAAAAUGCCAUAUAUAAGAUCAUUUACGUAAAAAUACUGAUCACGCCAUCGUUGGAACAGAGCACUAGAGAUAAAUAUUGCACAUCCAAAACCAUUAGCUGAUAGUAUCUUGGACAUUCAGACUACAUGACCACGAGAUAACAACAUAAGAAACAAUUAGAAAACAAAACUAAGAGUAGGGAAUAGGAAUAAAAACAGAGUUUGUUCCCUUGGAAGAAGAAGUAUGAUUGAAGAGUAUAUUAAACAACACUCGAGAUUUGUUAAAAGCUUGCUUUUUAAGAUGAAACUAUAGUACCAAAAAAAAAAAAAAAGGAGAAACGGAGUGAAGAAAAUCUGGAAGCAAAGCAGGAAAAUUGUGGUUCUGAUCCAAUUUUCUGAAAACAACUCUUCAGGUCCUCCUCUUGAUUCUAAUGAGUAUUUGACAUUAUUGACUCACUACAAGAGGCAAGAAAAACCUGUCAUAAUAAGGUUCAUGUAAAUGUACUUAACAGAGAAGAAAACAAUGAGUGGUGGAACCAAAGAAGCAUAGUGUUUUAGUCCAUGAAGAUGGAGAAGAACAGAGCUCCAGUGUGAUGGUUAUUAGAGGAAGAAGAUAUUGGUGAAAGAUUGAAACAGAGAAAAUUUGCAACCAUGGGCAUAAAUUGAAACUGGAGGCACAUAUUACCAAAGUGGAGAAGAGUUUGGCAAAAUUAAUUUCUAAAUUUGGGGAGUUAUAACAUGGCUUUAAAAGUACGAUGAAUACCAAAUAAAAAAUAGACAAUACAAUUAAACGAUAAAGAAGAAUACAAAAAAUGAUAAAAAACAAAAAAACAAUCGAGUUUGUCUUAGUUGAUUUGGCUUAUGAGUUUUACUACACUUUUUCAUUGGUUUCAUACACUUAUUUUAUGGUUUUUUGAGUAUUUAAUUUUGGAUGAUGUUUUAAUUAAUUUUAUUUCAAUUAGCUAUGUCUCAAGUGGUUAUUUUAAUUCUCUUUCGUUUCUAACAUAAAAUUUUGUUUUAUGUUUAUCAAACUCUUCCACCCGCGCAAGGCGCGGACUAAACACCUAGUUUGAUAUUUAAAAUGACACAAUCGUUUUACCAAAAUUUUGUACGUAUAAGAAAUGAUAAAAAAGCAUUUACUUGUAAAAUUUUAAAAUUAUAUACUAGAAAAAGAAACCCGCGUGUACACGCAGGUGAUCAUCUAAUAGUUAUAAAAAAUAGCAUAUAUGUAUGUAUUUCCCACUCGUAGACAAUUAUUUACCGAUAUUGCGUAGUGAGAAAAAUAAUACUUAUACUAUUGUCUAUGUCUGGUGUUGAAGAGAUUUUCCAAUAAUCUAUUACAAAAAAUAAAUCUAUAUACAUGUUCAUUUGAGUUAAAACUAUGAAAACUAAUCAAGAAUUCAACAAAACCAGGAUUCUUUCUAGUAAUGAUGAAACUUAUUUCAAAUAAAAAGAGUAUAAAUACAUGUAAUCUCAGCUNNNNNNNNNNNNNNNNNNNNNNNNNNNNNNNNNNNNNNNNNNNNNNNNNNNNNNNNNNNNNNNNNNNNNNNNNNNNNNNNNNNNNNNNNNNNNNNNNNNNNNNNNNNNNNNNNNNNNNNNNNNNNNNNNNNNNNNNNNNNNNNNNNNNNNNNNNNNNNNNNNNNNNNNNNNNNNNNNNNNNNNNNNNNNNNNNNNNNNNNNNNNNNNNNNNNNNNNNNNNNNNNNNNNNNNNNNNNNNNNNNNNNNNNNNNNNNNNNNNNNNNNNNNNNNNNNNNNNNNNNNNNNNNNNNNNNNNNNNNNNNNNNNNACGACACCCAAAUCCAAGAAUGGUCUUUUGAUUGCUUUAUCUGUAUUGUUGUUGUUGCUGCUGCUUAAGUCAACAACCAACAACAUCCACUCCAAUUCUCAACCAUCCACCUGUGUUGGAUUUAGAAGAGGAACCAACCAACCACUUAUAUCCAUGCUGCUCCUGGUGUCUUCCACAGAGAUGUGAAACCACAUAACCUUUUGGUAAGUUGAUCUUAUUGUGGGUUUGUCUUGGGUAACCAUUACUAGAUUGUAAUCCAUUUCUCUGGUGCGUUCUGUAGGUUGAUCCCCUCACUCAUCAGUGUAAGCUGUGUGAUUUUGGAAGUGCAAAAGUAUUGGUAAGGGUUUACCUUAUUUAUAUUUUUUUAUUUAUUUUUCCACUGCUUAUGUGUUCGGUCUCAUGAAAUCAAUUGCACCUUAUUUGUUUUCAUGAUCUUUGCAACAUGUGACUAUUGACUUUAGGUGAAAGGUGAACCAAAUAUAUCAUAUAUCUGCUCUCGGUAUUACCGAGCUCUAGAACUCAUCUUUGGGGCCACAGAGUAUACAUCCUCCAUAGAUAUAUUGUCAGCUGGUUUUGUUUUGGCAUAGCUCCUUCUUGGUCAGGUUAGUGUAAACUAAUUUAUCCAUUAAGUAUCUUGAGAACUAAAGCAUCUCUCCAAUAUCUUUGACAAUCAUUUGAUAUUUCUUUAUCUUCAGCCGAUAUUCCCCGGAGAAAAUUCUGUGGACCAGCUAGUGGAGAUCAUCAAGGUGAAGUCUCAUAUUGAUUAGAGUUUACCUUGGUGUCAUUAUAGAAAAAAAUCCUAUAAUCUAAUAGAUUGAUCAUUUUGAUUAAAAUCUCGUUCUGUUUAGGUUCUUGGUACUCCAACUCGAGAAGAAAUCCGAUGCAUGAAUCCAAACUACACAGACUUUAGAUUCCCACAAAUCAAAGCUCACCCGUGGCAUAAGGUAAUUUAUAUGCAUGUUACGUUCUAACUUUUCUGAUCAUUCAGAGAAAAAAAGAAAAGCUGAAACAAUACAUAUACUACUUUAUGACCUCCAGGUUUUCCAGAAGCUGAUGCCUCCAGAAGCCAUUGACCUCGCAUCUCGGCUUCUUCAAUAUUCACCGAGCAUACGUUGCACUGCAGUCAGUAUCUCUACACGACCAAGUAUUCUUAGUUGUUAGAGUUGUUCUCUCUGUUUGGACCUGUACUGUUCAAUGAUGCUGAGGCUUUUUAACUGACAUGUAUGUUAUGUUUCCAUGUCUAAAAGCUCGAAGCAUGUGCUCAUCCAUUUUUCAAUGAACUACAUGAGCCCAAUGCUCGUCUUCCAAACGGCCGACCUCUACCACCGUUGUUCAACUUCAAACAAGAGGUACGUUUGUCCAAUCUCUUUAAAACAAACAUUCUUAAACCAAACCAUAACUGCUGUUAAGUUCAAACAGUUUCUUAAUCUGGUAUCUCUUUCUCUCUGCUUGAAUGUUCAAACAGUUAUCUGGAGCUUCCUCAGAGCUUGUAAACAGGCUAGUACCAGAUCACGUUAGGCGACAGAUGAGUGGAGGCUUUCCAUUUCAAGCUGCUCCGUAGAAACGACUUCGAAACCAAGAUGUUUUGUUCUGGGUAGAAAUCCCAUCAAGCAUUUGCUUGGGCACUAGAAUUUCAAUUAUUUUAGGGGCCAUUUUGUAUAAAUAUGAGUUGGUUAAGAUGGUGCAGUGGUCUAUGAAAAAUGUGUUUAUUUGUCAUUGUAUUUGGCAUAUUUUAUUUUUAAUCAACAUUAUAUCAUAGAAUUAGUUAUUCUUAAACAACUUAAAACAGAACAAAGGAAAUAAAAACUACAUCAUCCUGUUUACAUCUACUAUUCAAAAUGAAGAAAAUAACCUAUAAAUUCUUAGGUCUUUGGGGGUUAUUGGGUGCACGUUUUCUAAUUUGGGUAACAACUGAUAGCAUUUACAAAUUUUUCAAGAAAAGUUAAGUGAAAUCAAUUUUUGAAUUGGGAAAAAACUUUUAAAAAAUCUCAAAAAGAAAGAAAAUAUUUAUAAAAAACAGCAUAUAUGUAUUUCCACUUGUAGACGAUUCUUUACCAAUCUUGCAUGAUGGAAAAAUUACUACUCAUAUUUUUGUGUAUGUUUGGUGUUGAAGAGAUUCUAUUACAAAAGAUAAACUUAUUUUUACGGAAGAAAAUUUAAGAAAAAAAAUCUAUAUAUACAUUGUUCACUCGAGCUAAAACUAUGGAAAUAAUGAAGAAUUCAAUAAAAUCAGGAUUCUUUCUAGUAAUGAUGAAACUUAUUACAAAUAAGAAAGAUUACAAUUACAAGUAAUCCCAGCUUACAAUGAACCUGCUCACUACUUAGCAAAAAAAACUUUUUCCAACAAUGUUUUCUAUUAUAGUUGGAUUUAUUCCCCUAUCUGGUUAACCCCUUUACUUCAUUGUGACUUUGUAUAUUCUUCACUUUUUGGUCAAUAUAUAUGCUUCUUAUACAAUUACAUGUAAUCCCAGUUUCCCACUCCGAAACCAAACUUCCCCACAUCAAGCCAGCAAUCUGAAAUAUAAACCAUCAUAGACAUAAACCUUAGAGCUAAAACUGUUCUCAUACUUAAACCUCUAAUCACCCUUAUCUCAAUAUCAUGGUAUCUCCACGUGUCUUCAUCAUCCUCGUAAUUACCUGAGACGAUAAUGUUGGUGGCUCUCAGUUCAUCUCCUGUGUAAGCCCACCGAGCACAGUUCAUGACGGUAAAAGAACACGUCGCCGAUCUCAACACAAGGGAUUGAACCCACUAAGUAUUUACCCUGGGUUUGAGAUCAGCGACGUGUUCUUUUAUCGUCAUGAACUGUGCUCUCAGACUGGGCUUACACAGCCAGCUACAACGUAGUUCCAAAGGUGAACCGAUACCCCCCCCCCCAUCAUUGUCGUCUCAGGUAAUUUGAGGAUGAUGAAGACGUACGUGGCUUGUUACAUUAGUCCCAGAAAAGAACCAAAUGUGAUGGCACAUUUGGAGCUACGGAAACUACUCAGUUACAGAUGGUGAGCUUCACGUUCAGUUCAUCGGCGACCCAUAGUCCAGGCUUAGCUCCGAUAACAAGGGAACAUCAAAAGAAAAAAAAAACUUGAUGUUCAUUAUCGGACUAAGCCUGGAUUAUGGGUCAGUAGAUGAACUGAACGGGAAGCUUGCCAUCUAUAACUGAGUAGUUUCCUUGUUUCUAUAUUUUUCUUUAUGUCUUUACCGAUAUGGCUCUCCUAUAUGCUUUAUCUUGAGGUAAUUUCUCAAAUAAAUGUUCUUUCUACAUCUCUUUAUCAUAGGAGUCUCAUUGUCUGUACCAAUUGCAUGCUCACAUGCUAAAGUCUUUACUAUAUUUGAGUAUUUACGAAGUUUGUUUGAUUGCUAAAUUAAACCAAUCACAUUCAGGGAAGAAUUAAGGUUGAUUCCAUUUUCUAAACCAGACCCAUUUAUUGUGAUAGAUAAAUACAUAUUUGGUAAGUUACAAACAAAAGAAAUGAAAAUUGCCCAAAGAAAAAAAGGAAAAAGAAAUGAAAUAUCUAUCACACAAAAACUCAAGCGAAAUUUGAUCGUGUGUGAUCGAACUAACAUCUUUUUAUUUUAUCUAUCACGAUAUCUUUUUUGUUCGUCAUUCAUUUUAAUUUCUAGGCUGAGCUCAAAAUUUCUCGAAAAAAUUGUUGUAACAUUAUGGAGGCAGAAGCAACAACUCUUCUUUGGAUCAUGACAUGCUUGGAUGAUCUUGGCUAUGAAGAGGUAAUUUUCGAGAGUGAUUCAAAGAUAUUGGUGAAAGCGGUAGCUGAACCUCGAGAAUGGUCAAGAUUUAUAGUCUAUACCAGAGAAAUCAACAAUACAAGAAAUAUAUUAUUUCGACCAACCAUCACUUUCCAAGCAAGAGAAAAGCCAACCAAUGUGUUGAUCUUACAGCCAAUAAAACCUCUUCAUAUGAAGUACUCUUUUGUUGAGAAGGAGAAACGAAUUUAUAUGAAAUAUGUUUGAGCUCGAAAAAACAAGAAAUAUAUGGCUUUAUGUUAAAAUGAUGAUAACUCUCCUAAAUUAACAACAACAAACCAAAAAAAAUGGGUGAUAAUCCUCGAUUACUAGUUUCGAUUCUAUACUAUUACAUUUCGGUUAUAUUCUCAUUUUCAAUCAACUUUCCAUUAUAUUAUAACAUGUUGACGUCAUAAAGAAAUUAUAACAUGAUAUAUAGUGAAAUACAAACGAUAGAGCUAUUAAAGUGGCAUAAUAAGAUGAUGCAAGAUCUGAUCCGAUACUACAGCAAAUAGAUAUUUGUCACUGGCUGGUCAUACUUUUUACCAUAAUAAUAAAAAGACUGUGCAUACAUUGUGCUUGGGUAUGCCUAGAUAUUCUAAGCAAAUCGGUCAUAAAUACAAAUACGUUCUGAAAAGGUACCUAAGAGAUAUUUAGCAACCUCCUCCACCACCACAACCUCUUCCUCCACCACACCCGCCUCUACCGCCAGACGCUUAUGGUCCAGCAUAUGGUCUAGCUCCAGUAUAUAUUGAUCCAUCUUUCGUCUCAUUUUUUUUAGAUUCUUUUUCACCGGUGCAAACAAAUACGGCCAUGGCUAUUACGGAUAAGGUGGCUGCAACCGCCAAUAUCCCCCAAACUAAACCAAAGCCACUGGUUCUAACGUCGCUCAAUAUGCUUCUCACCAUAUUCUCUUGUGUAUAUUUUGGUUAAGUUUGAGAUUUUGGAUUCGGUUUUGGGUAGGGAUUUAUAUAUGCUUUUUAGAUGUGAGAAAUAAAAAGCAUUAUUUGUAGAUAAUUUUUUGAAUGGACAAUGUUGGCUUACCGCUUACGUCACGUGUGUCGGUGUGUGGUUACGUAAGAGUAAUAUGUAAAAAUCUACAAGUUUCUCUGAUGUCAUAUAAGAAAAUUUCUUGGUUUAUAUGAGGUGGCUACUUUUCAACAUGCUUUAACAUUUGGUUCAAUAUAAGUGAUGCUCUUAUGAUAAGGUCUCUCUGGCUACUUUUCAACGUGCUUUAACAUUUGGUUCAAUAUUGAGGGAUGCUUAAAAGUCUUAUGAUAAGGUCCCUGAACUUUAGUACGUGGAUGGUCGUAAUCCAUACCUUGGAAUAUUUUGCUUACUAAUUCAUUAUUUGUCUUUUGAAAAUUUGAAACAAAUUUAUAUUAGAUUCUGAAAUUACUUGAUAUUUUUAUGUAAGACCUUUGUGGAACCAAUCCAUUUAUUUUGGGAGGUUGAUACAAUUGUUGUAGGAAGUAAAUUUAGAGGAGACAAAUAUUGCAAUGUAAGAAACCGAUUUGAGAUACAGAAAAACGUUUUGAAAGCGGAUUAAGGAAAAACGAGAAGUGGAGGCGAGAUGAUCUCUUUCCUUAAUUCAAAAUAUCUCCCGCAGUGUGGCGGUUGGAUGAGAUAAAGAAUCCCAGGAUACAACCACUAGUAUUUGUAUAAUCGCAGCACCCGAUUAUAGAAUGUGACGAACUGAUAUUCUACGAUAUACUCUCGGACACUUACUCUUGAAAGAAGAAAGGAGACGCGAGAGAUUUGAAGGAAAAGUGUGAAUGAUUUUUCUCUGUAAAUUUUCUGUAGAGAGCGAUCAAAAUUGGAAGAGGAAAAGUCGAUAUAUGUAGCGAAGGAGAGAGGAUCGUCGCACUUAAUCAGCGUGUUAAUGACGAGAUUAAUUUUGUGCUAAUGACGCGAUUUGGGCGUUAAUCUUGGCGUGAUUUUCAGGAGAGACAUUUGACUGCAGUUUAAUGUCGUGAUUCUGUUAAGAAUUUGAACCGAAAACUUUAGCAAUUUGGGCCAGAAAUGUUGACCAAAACGAGGCCCAAAAAGAACAUCUUUUGUGGGCCGAAGGCCCACAUUCACCAAGACCCAAGACCCAAGACCCAAGACCCAAGACCCAAGACCCAAGCACUACAAGAAAGAGGGGCUUUUCCGUCGAAUUAUUUACGACGAUUUGUAGUCGUCGUAAAUUUACGACGACAUUACGUCGUUUUUACGACGAUCAAAAAUUUUGUCGUAAAUUCGACGUAAAAAAUAACCCUUGUAAAAUCGUCGUAAUGUUACGACGAAUAAAGAACGAAUUUUAUUUCGUCGUAAUCUUGUCGUAAUAUUUACAUCGAUAAUACGACGAAUUGUCCUCUAUCUUGUAGUUGACGUAAAAUCAAUGUAAAUGUGAUGUAAAUUUUAUUUCGACGUAAAUUUGAUGUAAAUAUGCAAUGGUAAUAUGUUGGUAACCAAACAAAAAAUUCUAUAUAUACCCUUUCUUCUCUCAUUAUUCCAUCAUCCCAAAAAAACAUAUAAAAACACAAAUUUUUUGAGUCUUUGAAUGUUUAAGUAAAAUUUUUAGUAGUUGAAAUUUCUAUCAAAUUUCAGAAACAAAAAGUCAAAUAUUUGUUUUUGAAAUGUCUAUAUACGAUCUACGAAAGUGGAUGUAUACGCCCAAAAAUAGUGAUGGGUCGUUGACUGAAGACUUCAAAAACGGAUUGGAAAUAUUCAUGUACCAAGCCGGCCUUCUGGAAACUGUAAUUGAAAGCGGCAAAAUGUAUUGUCCUUGUGUGAAAUGCAAAAUAGGAAACAUAUUCUUAUUGACACUGUCUGGCAGCAUUUAUUGAAUAGAGGGUUCAUGCCUCAAUACUUUAUUUGGUAUCAGCAUGGAGAGGGAUAUGGUCAAAGUAGUGGUCAGAUGGCUGCACGGAGUAGUAGUAAUCAUCAAGAACAUGUGGAUUUUGAAGCGUCCAAUGAUUAUCAAAGUAGUCAAGUUCAGGGUGAAGAUCAUGAUAGGAUGCAUGAAAUGAUUACUGAUGCAUUUCAUGAAACACAUGCUGAUACUGUUGAGGAGCCCAAUGCAGAUGCGAAACGCUUUUAUGAUAUGUUAAACGCAGCAAAACAGCCUUUGUACGAGGGAUGUAGGGAAGGUUUAUCAAAAUUAUCAUUGGCAGCUCGGAUGAUGACAAUAAAAACAGAUCACAAUCUAUCUGAAGUUUGCAUGAACGAUUGGGCAGAUCUUAUUAAAGAGUAUUUGCCAGAUGAUAAUUUGGCUGCUGAAACGUAUUAUGAAAUUCAGAAGCUGGUUUUUAGUCUUGGAUUGCCUUCUGAGAUGAUUGAUGUUUGUGUUGAUAAUUGUAUGCUUUUUUGGAGAGAUGAUGAGAAGCUUGAAGAAUGUCGUUUCUGCCAAAAGCCAAGAUAUAGACCGCAAAUUGCUGGGCGUAAGAAGAUUCCUUACCAACGAAUGUGGUAUCUUCCUAUCACUGAUAGGUUAAAAAGACUAUAUCAAUCCGAACGGACAGCUGCGUCGAUGAGAUGGCAUGCGGAACAUUCACAAAAAGAUGGCAAAAUGACUCACCCGUCUGACGGGAAAUCUUGGAAACAUUUUAACACCGUACAUCCAGACUUUGCUAGGUCUAAGCGAAAUGUUUAUCUUGGUCUUUGCACUGACGGGUUUAGUCCAUUUGGUAUGUCUGGUAGGCAAUAUUCAUUAUGGCCUGUGAUUCUUACGCCAUAUAACCUUCCUCCAGAUAUGUGCAUGGAAAGAGAGUUUUUGUUUCUAAGUAUAUUAGUCCCUGGUCCAAAUCACACGAAGCGGGCCCUUGAUGUUUUUUUGCAACCACUCAUACAUGAGUUAAACCAGUUGUGGCAUGUUGGAGUACGAACAUAUGACUGUUCGAGUGGUAAAAAUUUUACGAUGCGAGCGGUGCUUAUGUGGACAAUAAGCGAUUUCCCGGCAUACGAAAUGCUAUCAGGUUGGACAACGCAUGGGAGGUUAUCAUGUCCUUAUUGUCUUCAUAGGACUGAUGCAUUUCAGCUUAAACAUGGUAGGAAAACCUGUUGGUUUGAUUGCCACCGUCGGGUUUUACUACGACGAAUUUACGACGAAUGGGAGUGAUCGUCGUAAAUUCGUCGUAAUAUACCAUCGAAAAUACGACGAAAUGUAAUCCCUAAAUCUUAUAAUCAAUCUUUUAUGGGGUUCAGAGGGGAUUUUGAUGAGGAGAAUGAAAUGGCUUACCAUCUCAUAAGGUAAAACAACUUUCUAAACAAAAAAAAAAAAAUUCAAAAUUUGACAUAUAUGUCUUUAUCAAGUAAUCUUAAGGUGUUAUAUACAUUUACACAAGAUGUAUGGAUUUAUCUUACAUCUUACUAAAUUCUUCAUUAAGUUAUGUAAACAUGCUAGAAAUUUAUACAGACCACAUUUAUCAUGAAUAGACAUGCUUGUAUGUGCUUAUGGAUGUUUCAAUUUUUGAAUUUCAUCAGUUUUGGUAUAAUUCGUCGUAAAUUCGUCGUAAUGUUACGACGAAUUUACGACGAUUUGUGGAUACACAGCCGUCUUAAUUUUUUUGAUUUAUAAGAUUCGUCGUAAAAUCGUCGUAACAUUACGACGAUUUUACGACGAAUAGCACGGAUCAUCGUAAACUCGUCGCAAAGCCCAGAUACAGCCACGUGUGUUUGUCUUACUCGCUUUGUUGUACGGUGGGACCUUUGCGACGAAUUUACGACGGAAUUCGUCGUAAUGUUUACGUCGAAUUUACGACGAAUAUAAAUUCUAUAUAUAGGACCUCACCCCUUCCUCAUUUCGUCGCUUAUCUCUCCUUCCUCUCUCUCUGCUUCCUCCUUGCCACCUCCUCCUUUUGACGCAAAAAAAAAGGUGAAUAAUUUUUUUUAAUUACUUAAAAUUAUAAUAAUUUUAAAUAGUUUAGAAAUUCAAACGGUUUAGGUCGGGAAUUAGUUUAGGCUCGGAAUUUGUUAGAUUUAGGAUCGGAAUUUGUUAGAUUUAGGAUCGUAAUUAAAAAUUAAUUGUAAUUAAUUUGAAAAAUAAUUUUUUUCGGUUUUGCAGACGAUGACUCGACGGAGGACGCAUUACAUCAAUUUCAUGGCGGACGGACAUUCUUCCCGGGCGUCUGCCUCGGGAAACACCGGGACCGAUGUCCCUUCAUCUUCCGGAGCCUCCCAGGUUCCGAAUACCGCGGAGCCGUCUCCACCACCGCCUCCACCACCACCUCCACCGCCGGCUGUCGAACCGGUACCCGCCCCGGCUGCCGAACCGGUACCCGCCCCUCCUCAUCUGUAUGUCCAGUUUACGAUUGAGGAUUUACUAGCCUUACCGGGACGGGGGGCUUUACGACGUCUGGUUCCCGGAAAAGCGGAACCAGGCUCUUAUUGGUAAGUAAACUUUUUUGUUUUUUUAUAGUUUUUAAAUUAACGCUUUAAUUUACUUAAAUAUUAAUGUAAUAAUUUUUUUUUUUGGUUUCAUAGGUUUACUUUGGAUAAUUGUGUCGGGCGGAGCGUUUCCGACACAAUUAAGAGUCAUUUCGUGGAGCACGUCAAUUGGAGCAAGGUGUCGCAAGAGACGUGCGACACCUGGUACAAGUGCUUCGCGGUAAUAUUUUUAAAAUCUUAUUUAUAUCAUUUUAAAUUGUUUUAAAUUUAAUUAAUCUUACUUUUAUAUUGUUUAUCUAAUUUUUUGUUUUCUUUUGCAGCAACGGUGGAACUGGGACAUCGGGAUCAACGAGACGGUCCGCGAAGCUUUCGAGGAAAAGGCGAAGAAACGCCUAGUCAACACCGUUUCCGAUUGGAAGCGGAAAUGGGAGACCGACGGCGACGACGCAAAGCCGAGCUCCAUGUCCACUUGGUGUUGGAACGGGUUGAAGGCGUAUUGGGUGGACCCGCAUGCCCAAACCACCGCUGCUAAGUGUUCGGCCGUCCGAAACCGGGUCGAUCCGGUGACUGGUGAGAAGUUAGUGAACCCGUACACUUCUGGCCAAAUAUCUUUUACGGGAAGACGUCUCAUGAUGGUAAGUAAUUAAAUAUAAAUUAUUUCAUUAUUAUUUUAAUUUUAUUUAUUGCUAGAAUUAAUUAAAUAUUUUUGACUAAUAAUGUUUAUUAAUUGGUAGGCCGAGGAGAACGGAGGAGAACUACCUCCAAUGACGAAGCUCUUCGAGACCACUCACCGGAAGAAGGACGGGAGCUUUGUCGACGCUCGGUCCGAGGAGAUCUACAAUGCCGCUUGCAGCGGAUCGCCGAGCGGGAGACCCAGGCCACACCUGACGGUACUAUCCAAGUACCGUUGACCGUCGCUGAGCAAGACCAGAUUUUCGAAGAGGUAUGAUAUCUAUUUCAAUUUUUUAAAAAUUUAUUAUAUUUAUAAUUACUUAAUAAAUAAUUAACGUUUUUAUUUUCCAUUUGUAGGUUGCUCCGAAGAAGAAGGGCCGAACCUUAGGGAUGGGCUCUAUUAGAGAUUGUCCUGCCGCCACGGCUUCCGGAUUCCGCACGCAGGAUCCGCAGCUUCGCCAGGAGCUUGCUACGGCCAAUGCUGAGAUCACCAGUCUCAGGCAUGAGCAAAUGGCCCAGAAGCAGGAGCUCACCGAGAUACAUGAUCUCUUCGACAUCAUUGCGGAAGCGGUUCCGCAGUUGGCCACCGCAAUCCGAGCGAGGCAACAGCGAGCACGGAGGGUUUUUGAGACCGGUGGUAAUUCCGGUACUGGACCAUCGGACCACCAGACGCAGGGCGGUCAGUCUUCGGCUCCGGUCUCAGCAGCGACGGGCGGUCAGACUUCGGCUCCGGUAGUGCAUACGGGAAACGUCGGCCUAGCAGCGACGGGCGGCCAAGACGGAGAGCCUCCUCGUGACGUCGAUCUCAACCUCGACGAUUACGACAUCAUUGUAUAGAUUAGGUUUUUUUGUAAAAAACAAUUUGUAUUAAUUUUUUUUAUUUAUAAAUUAUUUUUGAAUUUAAAUUUCAAUUUAAAUUCAAAUUUUUUCUAUUUUUAAUUUUUUGAUUAUUUUAAAAAUUCAUUAAUUAAAUAAAAUCGAAUUAAAUAAUUAAUUUAUAAAUCGACGUAAAUUCGUCGUAAAUUUACGUCGAUUUACCGUCGAAUAUUUAACGACGAAUUUACGACGAAUAAGUUUACGUCGGCUUUACGUCGAAACUUUACGACGAUUUAACAUCGACAAUUAAAAAUUUAGUUUCCCUUAAUUGAAAUUGUUCGUCUCCUAAUCGUUGUUAAAUCGAUGUAAUUUUACAUCGAUUUAACGUUGUUUUUAUGAUGGAGUUCUUUCGUUGUACAUCCGUUGGAAAUUUUACGACGCAUUUACGACGAAUUGUUCCCGACGAUUUUACGACAAUUUUCCGGAGUUGGUAAUUUUACGACGAUUUUACGACGAUUUCGGUUUUACGACGAUCGUUUUACGACGAUUUUUAAUUUGUCGUUAAUCCGACGUAAAUGCUCUUUUACGUCGAUUUUACGUCGAUAUCUGCCGACGUAAAAGCCGAUCUUUCUUGUAGUGAAGACCCAAGACCCAAGACCCAAGACCCGAGCCCGGCUCGGCUCGGCGGCGGCGGCGGCGCGCGAGGGGUCCUUGGUUCUCCUUCACACACUUUGAACUAUGUCAUGUGUGUGUCUAUAUUUAUAUGACUAGAAAAUUUUCCAAUCCUCCAAUGUGGGACAAAAUGAUGUUCCUCACAAUUUAAGUUGCCUUGAAGGGCUUUAUUUUUAUUCACACUUGACCAAAUUUUAAAGCCUUUGGGCUUUGUAAUAAUUUGGGUCCAACAAUCCCCCACAUGAAUAGAAAUAACUCUAGACAUACGACCGGACUGACUCGAAGACUGGACUCGACUAGACUAAACUAAACGGACUUUCGAGAGUAUAAACGAAAAUUCCACUGUGUUUGAGAUAGUAGUAUGUUUCAACCUUGAACCACUCAAUGUUAAUAUCUGUCGGGCUUACUCAGCUAGAAGGUGAACAUGAUGUCUUGAACCACCCGAAUUUUGAUGUAAACCGAGACAACAAAUACAACUCAGUUUCAUUUUCUCGUAGAACUAUGUUCUCUAUUGUGUUCAUUUUGGCCUUGAACUUGCCUGGUUAAUCAUGAGUGAAGUUGGAGAAUAUAGCCUUUUGUUUUUCCAUUCUCAUAGAAACGGCCCCAUUUCACACUCACUAGGUGAUUUGCCAGUAGUCUUUGUUUUAAGAAGUGUUGUACUUCACUGAUAUAUCAAAGCUACGGUCUUCUCAUUAACAGCUUUGCUUAUCCUUUGAAAAUAUACAAUGAAAAUUGUAUGUAAGCACUGUCAAUCAUCUUGGGACCUAGGUUAAGACUAUACGUCUUUCAGUGCUUUAGAUUUUGUUUGAUUUAGUUUUCCCUUUUGAACCAUACAUCUUGAGAUCUCCAGUCAUGUAGGUGGGGUUUCCAUCAAACAACCUCUUUAGUCAUAGGCUUUAAACCCAUUCCCUUUGACGAUUUGAGAACUUGAUCACGAGCUAGACCCUUAGUGAAUGGAUCUGCUAGAUUAUCAGCUGAUUUUAUGUAAUCUAGUGAGAUUACUCCGGUUGUGAUCAAGCUUCUAAUGGAUUUAUGUCGCUUUCUUAUGUGACGAGAUUUACCAUUAUAGAGAUUAUUUAGUGCCCGGGCGAUAGCUGAUUGACUAUCACAGUGUACACGUAUUGCCGGGACUGGUUUCUCCCACAUUGGAAUAUCUUCCAAGAAAUUUCGGAGUCAUUCGGCCUCCUCUGCAGCUUUAUCUAAAGCUAUAAAUUCAGACUCCAUGGUUGAUCGGGCCAGUAGAGUUUGUUUGGAAGACUUCCAAGAGACUGCUGCACCAGCAAGGGUAAAGACAUAUCCACUUGUGGAUUUUGAGUUUUUGGUGUCAGAUAUCCAGUUUGCAUCACUGUAUCCUUCCAAAACUGCGGGUUCUCUCCCAUAGUGCAGCCCAUAACUUUUAGUGUAUCGAAUGUAAUUUAAUACUCUAGUUAUGGCUUUCCAGUGUUUGUGUCCUGGAUUAUUUGUAUAGCGACUAAGUACAUUUACCGCGUGUGCUAGAUCAGGUCUAGUACAAUUGGUUAAGUACAUAAGGCUACCAAUUAUCCUUGCAUACUCGACUUGUGACACUGCUUCACCUGAGUUUUUGGUCAAGUGAAGUUGAGAGUCAACAGGAGUUUUUGCAGUUCCAUUUGAAUAGGUUUUAAACCGUUCAAGUAUCUUUUCAGCAUAAUGUGCUUGAGACAAGGUAAUCCCAUCAGAAGUUCUUGUGAUUUGUACCCCAAGAAUGACAUCUGCUAGACCCAUGUCUUUCAUGUCAAACUGUGCACUAAGCAUAUUCUUAGUUUGUUGGAUUAUGUCAUUAUUGCUGCCAAUAAUUAACAUGUCAUCUACAUAUAAACAUAGUAGGAUAUAUCCAUUAGGGGUCGUUUUUAUGUAAAUGCAUUUAUCACAUUCGUUUAUGCUGAAGCCAUCUGACAUCAUCGCAUUGUCAUAUUUUUCAUGCCAUUGUUUUGGUGCUUGUUUAAGUCCAUACAACGACUUCACAAGUCUACAGACUUUGUGUUCUUGUCCCGGGACUACAAAUCCUUCGGGUUGUUUCAUAUAGAUUUCCUCGUCUAAUUCACCGUUUAGAAAGGCUGUUUUGACGUCCAUCUGGUGGAUUUCCAAAUUUCGUAAGGCUGCAAUUCCAAUCAGCAUUCUGAUGGAAGUUAUUCUCAUUACUGGAGAAUAAGUGUCAAAGAAAUCCAGACCUUCUUUUUGUCGGAAUCCUUGCACUACAAGUCUAGCCUUAUAUUUAUCAACUGAGCCAUCGGUCUUCAAUUUCGUUUUGAAGAUCCAUUUACACCCUAGAGCUUUAAACCCUUCAGGUAACUCAGUGAUUUCAUAAGUAUGAUUCCGUCUAAUGGAAUCCAUCUCACUAUUGACUGCUUCCUCCCAAAGAGGUGCAUCGGGAGUGGACAUAGCUUCAGUAAAUGUUCUUGGUUCGUUUUCGGUGAGAAAGACCAUCAAGAACUCAGGACCGAAGGAUUUUUCCUUACGAGCUCUUUUGCUGCGUCUAGGUUCUAUCUCUUCGUCUUCUGAAGCAGGAACCCCAGAUGUGGUUGCCACAUCUUCCAGAGGACGUUUUAGAUUUUGUCUAUCCUUGCACGGGAAAAUGUGUUCAAAAAAUGAAACAUUUCUUGAUUCCAUUAUUGUAUUCACCUGAAUAUCGGGUACAUCUAAUUUGUGAACCAGAAACCGAUAAGCACUACUGUUGCGUGCAUAUCCAAUGAAAAUACAAUCAACAGUUUUUGGUCCUAUGGUGACCUUUUUAGGUGGUGGCACAGCGACCUUUGCUAAGCACCCCCACACUCUCAUGUAUUUGUACGAAGGUACUCUACCUGUCCAUAGUUCAUAUGGCGUUUUGCCAGUUACUUUGUGCGGUAUUUUGUUGAGGAUAUAGUUUGUAGUGAGAAUUGCUUCCCCCCACAGAUUCUGGGGUAGCCCAGAUUCCUGCAACAUUGCAUUCAUCAUCUCUUUAAGAGUUUGAUUUUUGCGUUCCGCAAUUCCAUUAGAUUCUGGUGAGUAGGGAGCGGUGGUCUGAUGUAUAAUGCCUUUUUCUAGACAGAAAACAUUGAAUGGACCAUCAUAUUCGCCUCCUCUAUCACUCCUAACAAUUUUAAUAGUUUUACCGAGUUGAUUUUCAACUUCGAUUUUAUAUUCUUUGAAUUUCUCCAAGACUUCAUCUUUACUUCUUAGUAAAUAGAUGUAACAGUAUCUUGUACAAUCAUCAAUGAAAGUUACAAAAUACUUCUUACCUCCUCUAGAUUUUACUAACUUUAAGUCGCACAAAUCUGUGUGUAUGAGGCCUAGAGGUUCGGUAGUUCGAUCGACAUGAGGAGAUGGAGUUUUUGUGAGUUUUUGUACGCAUGUCUCACAUUUAUUUUUGCUUAUUUUGCAUUUGGGGAUUAAGUUCGAAUUUAUUAAUCUUUGUAUAGAUUUAUAAUUCACAUGUCCUAAUCGUUCAUGCCAUAAAUCAAAAGACUCAACCAAGUAAGAAGAUUCAUUCUUAUUAAUUGACCUGGUAGAAGGUACAUCAUUUUUGAGGACAGUCAUUACACACAUUUUGAUUAAGUCCUCCUUAACAUAACCCUUCCCAAUAAAAACCCCAUGUUUCCUUAAAAUCAGCUGGUUAGAUCCAAUGCGGACGUCGAAUCCGUGCUUGUUGAUCAUGGUUCCAGAGAUCAGGUUUUUCCUCAUUUUUGGCACAUGCUUCACAUUGGUGAGGGUGACUUCUUUUCCCGAAGUCAUCUUUAAGACCACAUUGCCUAUGCCUUCAAUCUUGGAGUAUGACUCAUUUCCCAUCAACAAGUGCGCAUUGUUCUUGCAUUUCUUGUAGGUUGAGAACUGGUCUUUGUCCAUGCAGAUGUGAGUGGUUGCACCAGUGUCAUACCACCACGUUUUUGGGUUUGGCUCAACCAUGUUGACUUCUGUGACCAUUGCACACAGAUCAGCUUGAGUCAAGUUGGCUUGUCCUUUGUUGUCCCUCAGCCUGCUUCGACAUUCAUUGGAGGUGUGGCCCUUCUUGUUGCAAUAGGUGCACUUCCCAACAAAUUUGGUUUUGGGAGUUUCCUUUUUGAAGGAAGUGGAUGAUGAUGGAGCAAACUUGUUUUGCCUUCCUUUGGGAGGAAAUUUCCCGUUGCCUUUGACUUUCCCUUUUCCCUUGUUCUUGAACUCUGCUACAUUUGCAUUGUAGGAGUGAAAUGGUUCAGGGUUGACAGGCGUGGCAGCUUUUACCUCGCGUUUCAAAGACUCAUUUUGCAGCCUGGAAAUCAGAUUUGACAAGGUCAUAGACUUCUGCUUAUGAUCCAGAUAGUUUCUGAAGUCUGCCCAGCUAGGAGGUAGCUUGUCGACGAAGCAAUUCACUAUGAAGGUUUCACAGAUCUUCAUUCCUUCAUCAGCGAUUUCUUGACAAAUCAUCUGAAGUUCAUGGACUUGUUCCAUGAUGGGCCUUGAGUCCACCAUCAUGUACCUCGUAAAUUUGGAGGUUGCAUACCUUCCAGAGGAUACAUUGAAAGUCUUGUACUUCUUAUCCAAAGCUUCCCAGAGAUCCUUGGACGACUUGAUUUCGCAAUAGACAUUGAACAAUUGGUCAACCAAGCGGCUCUGGAUGUAGCCUUUGCAAAGGAAGUCCCCAUGGACCCAUGCUUCAACGCUUGCAACAGCACGCACAUCAGUAUUCCCAGUGGGCAAAGCAGGUUUGUCCUCGGUGAGAUACCUAUCCAAAUGCAGAGUGCACAGGAAAAAGUGCAUCUUUUGCUGCCACUGUUUGAAGUUGGUACCAUCAAACUUAUCCGGUGAGAUACCUGCAGCAAUAGCGCUGGGUAAAUUCGGAAUGUUUGUGGGUAGGGAUCCGAGUGCUGCACCUCCAACCGCUAAGGGUGUUGAUUCAGCGACAUCCUCUUGUCUUCCAUCAACGGAUUUCUCCACAUUUUUCGACAUCUGUUCCAAACGAGACAGGAAAAAAAAUGUCAGAUUCGUUGAAUAGAAUCGAUAGAAUAGCGAUUAAAAUAAGAGUCGCUAAUUUAUGCGUUCUGCGGAAACGCUAUAGAGCGGCCGUAGAAUCGCGUUUGAGUUUUGAACUCGAAAAGACGUUCACGGAUUUAACCGAGACGAUUUACAGACGCGGAAAGGAAGUUAUAAAAACUGUCCUUGUGUGGUCCAAUAGCGUUUCGCGUAACUUGCCAAAGGCCUUCGCGGAAACGGUUUCUUGUUAUAAAAAAAAAUCGUUUUUUCCUUAAAAACGUUUUCUGAAAAUCGUUUGUAUAGCAAUAUAGGAUCCGAUUCAAGCGAUAAGCAGGAUCGGAUUAUUUUGAAUUAAGACUGUAGGAAGUAAAUUUAGAGGAGACAAAUAUUGCAAUGUAAGAAAACGAUUUGAGAUACAGAAAAACGUUUUAUGAAAGCGGAUUAAGGAAAAACGAGAAGUGGAGGCGAGAUGAUCUCUUUCCUUAAUUCAAAAUAUCUCCCGCAGUGUGGCGGUUGGAUGAGAUAUAGAAUCCCAGGAUACAACCACUAGUAUUCGUAUAAUCGCAGCACCCGAUUAUAGAAUGUGACGAACUGAUAUUCUACGAUAUACUCUCGGACACUUACUCUUGAAAGAAGAAAGGAGACGCGAGAGAUUUGAAGGAAAAAUGUGAAUGAUUUUUCUCUGUAAAUUUUCUGUAGAGAGCGAUCAAAAUUGGAAGAGGAAAAGUCGAUAUAUGUAGCAAAGGAGAGAGGAUCGUCGCACUUAAUCAGCGUGUUAAUGACGAGAUUAAUUUUGCGCUAAUGAUGUGAUUUGGGCGUUUAUCUUGGCGUGAUUUUCGGGAGAGACAUUUGACUGCAGUUUAAUGUCGUGAUUCUGUUAAGAAUUUGAACCGAAAACUUUAGCAAUUUGGGCCAGAAAUGUUGACCAAAACGAGGCCCAAAAAGAACAUCUUUUGUGGGCCGAAGACCCACAUUCACCAAGACCCAAGACCCGAGCCCGAGACCGAGCCCGGCUCGGCUCGGCGGCGGCGGCGGCGUGCGAGGGAUCCUUGGUUCUCCUUCACACACUUUGAACUAUGUCAUGUGUGUGUCUAUAUUUAUAUGACUAGAAAAUUUUCCAAUCCUCCAAUGUGGGACAAAAUGAUGUUCCUCACAAUUUAAGUUGCCUUGAAGGGCUUUAUUUUUAUUCACACUUGACCAAAUUUUAAAGCCUUUGGGCUUUGUAAUAAUUUGGGUCCAACAAUUGUUAAAUUAGCAGCAUGUUCUAUAUGUAGUAGAUUGGUUGGUAAAGUAAAUCAGUCAUAGUCAGUGAAGACCUAAGGUAAAUUCAUUUUCUAAAAUCAAAAACAUUUAUUAUGAUAGAUAUUUGGCUAGUGGUAUAUGCUCGUAUUCAUAUAAUAAUUGAAUGAUGUUUGUAUACAUGCCAGUCGUCCUCAUUUCAUUUUCUAAACCAAAACCAUUUAUGAUCAACGAGAUUUUGGUUUGUAUAUGCUGAAUUCCAUAAGCGGAUGCCUCCAGAAGCCAUUGACCUUGCAUCUCGGCUUCUACAAUAUUCACCGAGUCUACGUUGCACUGCGGUCAGUAUCUCUACUAUACACGACCAAGUAUUUGUUGGAAUAAGCUUGAAGAAACUUGAAGUGUAAGUUUCCUAAUCCUAAUCAAAGUGUGUUUUAUAGAAGGUUAGGAUUAGAAAAGAAAAUUUAGGAGUUAUCUAAAUAAGAAAUUUGUUUCUCUAUUGGAAUUAGGAGUUAGCUAUUUUAUUCUCUAUAUAAGAGUUGCCAAAGUUGUGGUAAACCUUAUGAGUUGAAAGAAAUAUUAAGAGAGGUUUUAGUUUUUGAGUGAUUUUUCUAAAGCUAAUAAAAGAAGUUGCUUUUAUUCAUACUUGAUCUAAGUCUCAAUUCUAUAACUGGUAUUGUUGGGGUCGGUUUCAUCCCAAUCGGUUUAAACCAUCUCAAGAACAUUGGAGAGCCGAUCCGACAAGGAGAACCGGUGACCUGUCGAAAAUGGGCCGAGCCCCACAGAAGAAGGCCAAGCUCAAGUGGGCCGAGCCGUGAGGUGAAAAUGGGUGAGCCGCGUAUGAGAGCAGACGGGCCGAGAUGUGUCGUGAGGUAUGGGCUGAGCUGCACUUAACAUGAUUGGACCGAGUCGCGCCUCGGCGAGUUAGGCCAAGUCGCGUCUCAACUCGAAUGGCAAGUGGGCCGAGCCGUAGAGAAGGUUAGAUGGGCCGAGCUGUGAGAAGAAUGGUGAGCAGGCCUAGCAGCGCGAGAGGAGGCAUGGGCCGAAUCGCUUCCCUGUGUGUUGGGUCGAGCCGGUUUUCCAAGAUGGGCCGAACCAAGGCUUUAGAAGACGAAAGCCCACAGAAUUCCUAGGCGAAGUAUUAUGACGGUGGCCACACGAAGCGAUAAGGAAAUAUACCUAAAAUCUCUCCCAAGAUUCUCGAAAGAGGCGUUUUAAGAAAUUAGUAUAAAUAGGAGAUUUCUACGAUUCAUUAUAUAACUUUUGCCACCCUAAGCAAUAAGACCUAAACACUUUAACAGCAAUAAAAAUCCUCUUUUGAUCUUACUGUUCUUGCGAUUACCCUAGAAGUUUCGGAUCCCUUAGUUUUUCUCUUACAAAUUUUUGGUUGUGUGAGUUUUGGCUCACACAAUUUGGCGCCGACUGUGGGGAACAUCGAAACUUUCUUACUCUAAACCGAAAAGACUUUAAGAUCCGAAGAACAUGGCGAGCAAUACCCCCGACGAUAACCACAACAACAGAAACAAUGGUAACGGCGCGGAGAAGGACGCUCUGGCAUCAGGCACAACGACGGCAGCGACCGAAACCCAAGAGGAGAUGCGAAACAUGAUGGCCGCGUUGAUGAGGAAAAUCGACGAGGAGGACAAACGAAACGAGGCGAUUACGGAGAGGCUCGACGCGAUGGCGGCUGAGCGACAACACCCAACCUGGAGAGCUGGAAUUCCCGACCCAAUGGAUGGAAUCCGGAGACGCUUCAACUUUUCAACGCCUGCAGAGGCCUCUGGGAGCGGCGCAAGAAACCCCUUGGUUCGCCCAAUGUUUCGUCCCCUCGGCGAACAGACUCCCGCGGCAACCCGAGUCAACAUGACUGAGCCGCCUCCACUCCGUCGGAACUCAAGGCGACGAGCCGGCGAGGAGGAGAAUGACGCGAUUGACGUGGACGCCCAGCAGAACGAUGGAACCACGAAUCCGCAACAAAAUGGCUCGGCUCGGCGGAUAAGCUAAGAAGAGCUCGCCUCGGCACUAAACGGCGUCCGGACUGACGAAGUCUCCGAUCCGACUCACGGCGACAACCCGACUGAAGAAGAAGAAAAUCUCCAAUGGAUCGAGCAGGUGAAGCGCGAAGACGAGCCGAGGAGAGAAGAGUAGGAGCGACUCCCCCAAUCAAAAGGAAUGACUCACGCGCAAACUCUCGAACUCAAAGAGUUGCGAGCCUCAAUGGCUCGGACAGUAGCUGAAAUACGCGCCAUGAAGUCUCAAGUGCACAACGCAACGAGUGCUGCGCCCGAGAUCGACCGGAUGCUUGAAGAAACUCAGAGAACUCCAUUCACGGCAAGAAUCACGGAGGCAAGGAUUCCCGAGCCCGGAAAAGUGAGAAUCCUGUUCUACGAAGGAACAACCGAUCCGAAAGCACACAUCACAGCGUUUCGGAUAGCAAUGGGACGAGCCUUCACAAAGAACGCUGCCAAACUGACCGAGCGGGAAGUAGAUGCCAGAUACUGCCUGCUCUUCGUGGAGCAUCUUAAGGGAGCCGCACUCGAGUGGUUUUCGAGGCAGGAACGCAACUCCAUCGGCAGCUUUCAACAGCUCUCUGCCUUGUUCCUUAAACAAUACUCGAUGUUUAUGGAUAGAGGAACGUCUGAUGCCGACCUGUGGACACUAUCCCAAGGACCGAACGAACCACUUCGAGAUUACAUGGCAAGAUUCAAGGCAGUCGUAUCCAAAACAGAAGGGAUAAGCGACAAGGCUGCACUCGAAGCUCUGAAACAAUCUUUGUGGUACAAAUCCGAGUUCCGACAGGAGAUGGCACUCAACACACCCCAAACAAUUCAAGACGCUUUGCACCGGUCAUCAGACUUUGUCGUAAACGAGGAGGAGAUGAAAAAUUUGGACGAGCAGUACGAAGCAACGAAAGCAGCAAUCCGAAGCUCAAUUUUGACGGGCCCCUCGAAGAAAGGCGACCCAUCGAACAACACAACAACGCAGAGCUCGGACGAACCUAGAAGCGGAGGUGCCCAUAACUACCAGGUAGGCACCGGACGCGGAAGAGGAGAGCCGCGCAACAACACUUGGGUAAGAAAGUCUGCUAACUACGACGAGAAGGCUUUCUGCGAAUAUCACCAGACCUACAGGCACUCAACGACACAAUGCCGAACGUUAGCAGCAAAACUCGCGGCUAAGAUGGCAGCGGGAGAGCUCCAAAACGCGGUCAACCUCAAAGACCUCGUCCCUAAUGAACCACAAGAAAGAGCCGAGCCGAGCGGCGCGGCUGAACCCGCAAAUCCUCCCCGACAAGGCGAUAACUCCAAGCGUGACAGGAGAGGCGAACCUGAAGAGCGACCCAAGCCGAGGCAAAUGAUCAAUAUGAUCAUGGGAGGAUCUCAAUACUACCAAGAUAUCGUGUCCUCCAUCAAAGCCUAUCAGCGCCGAGCCGAAGCGAAGGAGAAUUGGACAGAACCAACCGACAUCCUAAAUACAGUGAUCUCCUUCGCCGAGGAGGAAACGGCAGGAAUCGAUAGACCCCACAACGAUCCAUUGGUGAUUGAGUUAACAAUCAGGGAUCAUGACGUAGCGAGGGUGCUCAUCGAUAUUGGAAGCUCGGUGAACGUCAUCUUCAGGGACACACUCAGAAGAAUGGGAAUCGACCUCUCCGAGGUGGAAGCAAUCCCCAAACGUCUAACCGGAUUUUCAGGAGAAACGACGAUGACUAUGGGAACGAUCAGGCUCCCUGUGGUAGCUGGCGGAGUCACGAAGAUCGUUGAAUUCUGCGUCACCGAUCACCCAACAAUCUAAAAUGUGAUUAUGGGAACUCCAUGGAUCAACGGAAUGAGGGUGGUCCCCUCCACCUAUCAUCUCUGUCUCAAGUUCCCGACUCCAGCGGGUGUCAAAAUGAUCUGGGGGAAUCAGAAGGAGUCACGAAUGUGCUGCCUAGCAUAGCACAAGCUGAGGAACCCCGUCACCGACGCACGAGCAGACAUAGAUCGCAAAAAGAUGAAGACAGACCGAGAGCCUGCGAACAAGCUCUUGAAACUCUUAUAGCACUUACAGAUCGCGGAGAGCCGCAAAACACGCGCCGAGCCGGUAUGUGAUGCGGUGGACUCGGUGUGCAUAGACGAGGCGCGUCCGGAGUGAUGCGUCAAAAUUGGAGCAAAACUAGAAGAGCCUCUGAGAAGCAAACUCCUUUCCCUCCUCAAGGAGAACAUCAACACUUAUGCCUGGACAGCGGAAGAUAUGCCAGGCAUAAGCAUCGACGUGACCUGUCACGAGCUGAACGUGGACCCGACCUUUUGAUGUGCUCGUGUCAACUACGUGAGGGAACAAGUUUUACCCUUAACAAGACAAAUGAAAGCCGCAAGUGCACAGCGAAUCAGUUGUAGUAUUUAGGGAUCAAAUCCACAGAGAUUUGUGUACCUGGUAUUCUUCUACGGUUUUUAACUUUAUGUCUAGACUAAAUUGGUUUUAAAGGUUAGUUGUUUUUCUUGCGAAUUAAACUAAAACAAAAGAAAGCAAAUAAAUAUAUCCUAAAAAACAGGUAAGAAAAUCGAAUGAAAUGCAAUUAGAAUAGGCAAAUAUCGAAUGAAAGACUAAUAAGGCAAGUAAGAUAUCGCAUGAAAAGUAAAUAAAGCAAGUAAAUAAUGAACUAAGAAAAUUGAAAUGCAGGUCUAAAAAAGCAAGUAAAAAUCGAUGGAAUUGUAAACUAUGGCUAAAAACGCUGAGCUUUUGGGAACUCUAAGGGAUCAUAAUCGGUUUUAACACUAAGGUAGAUAGAUUGGGAUUGACAGAUAACGAUAUAUGGGUUCUAGAGCUAGAGUACGGCGGUAUGACUACGUCACUGUCGUGAUCAUAACCAACAGUUUCUCGCAACCCUGACCAGUAGGUUUCCACUCUGGCCCUGGAAGGGAGAGAACGCAAGAGCUGCACAAGACUCGUCAAUACUCACGAUCUCGCCGCAGGUAGGUUUCCACUCCUACGGAAAAAUCGCCUGUUUCAUUCUAGGGCUGAUACUUAAUGAAAACUUUCGCAACACUAACUAUCUAGAUCAGAUACUAGGUGAUCAAUCAAGCAUACAUGCAAUAAGAACAAGAAUAAACAGAGAACAGGUCGAAAUCCCAGAUCUAUAAACCUAGAUGUCUUAAUCGAUUAUGAGAGCCCCUUUCGGGAACCCUAAGCCCAACUCGGGAUCUACUCAGACAUGGCUGAGUUCGAAAUCAUCAUUGGUUUUAAUAUAAGUAAUGAAAAACAGUAAAGAAAAGAGAUAAAGAAAGCUUCUCUAUUGAAGAACUCGGACUUGAACAAUCUUCUACAAAAAUCUCAUAAAAACGGCUAAAGGAAAAGGGUUUAUGUAAAGUAUGAAGGGUUCUCCUUAAAAACGACCUAAAUGACAUGUAUUUAUAGUCUCCAAUACUCUAUGGUCUCUAGGGUUCCAGAAUUGAGGCUGAGAAUGACUUUGGGCUUCAGAUAAGUGGGCUUUAACUCGGAGAUUGAUUGCCGCAGUCGGGAGUGUUGUGACCGUGGCAAUUGGCUUGUUGGCCGCGGUCGGGAAGCUUCUGACCGCGGCAAAUAGCUUGUUGGCCGCGGUCGGGUGAGUUGUUGACCGACUUCGAAUGGCUCCGGGGCUAAUGAAAUAUCUUGAGAUCCAACCAUUGGAAUGUCUCCAAACCAAGUGAAUUUGAAAGCUGGUUGAUUCUUCUAUAAGUUGUCCAAUUUUGAGGGUGAUCAGACGGUGAGAAGGUCUUCGUCUCUCCAUGAGAGUUCUGACGGUCUGCAUUUAUCCAAAAGAGUCUUUUUGUUCCAUUUUGUGCCUCUUUAUCCCAAAUUACCUGAAAAGUCUUUUAAAAUCUGGAAACAUAGAAAUCCUUUGAAAACCUUUGAAAAUGGAGUAAAAACACCUGUAAAAGAUAUUAAAAUGAUCCAUAAAAAUGGUCAAAAUCCGGUGUUAUCAACUCUUCCAGACUUAGUCUUUUGUUUGUCCUCAAAGAAAAUAAGGCUAAAUCUCGGCGAGAGGUUUGAAAACGCAGGAACUAAACAAAAUCUCAGAGACCAAACUUCUAGACCAAUAUCAAUCAGUAUGCAUCAAUAGGAAUAGCCUAGAAAAUUCUCACUAGCAAUACAGGCAUAACUAGUCCGUUAAUCCGUCAUGCAGAAAUCUAUGCACUAAGAUCUAACUUCCAGUCAACUAGCUCUUAACAUUCAUUAAAAAUCUCGGUGGUUCUCAUCAAAGAAAAUCUAGGCAAGGCGAUCUAGGCUAGGUGUCAAGAAGGAUUAUUUUGGGGGGUAAGGCUUAAAGUGUUUACGGGUUACCUGAAGAUUUGGAGGAUGCAGGAUAUUAUGCAAAACCGCAAGAGAGAGUGAAGCUAUUGGUAUCCACAGUUUUCAGUUGGUGAGAAGAUGGAGAAUAAAAGCGAAAUAAAAUAAAAUAAAAAGAAAAGAAAAUGAUGAUAGAACCGUGAUGGUAGUGAAGUGCUGAUCAAUCACUCAUCCUCCGAAGUGUCGUCUGCGAACUGGUUUCGUCCAUUUUCUGCAAAAUGAAAUGAUUCUUGGAAAAAGAGUUAAUAUGGAUGCUGAUUUUAACACAUUAAGAUUUGUUACACUAAUACUAGCAUAAAGAGAUUAAUUAAAACCAUGAGCAAACAAAAUUGAUAUUGAAUCAGAGAAAUCAAGUAGUUCAUGACUAAAUUCGGAUUUUUGAUGUUCUUAACAUAGAAAUCUUCUAAAAAUCGGUUUUGAUGAGCAAUUUCCAUGUAAAAUUCUAAAGAUUACCCAAUACUAAUCACUAAUCACACAAGACUAAAUCAAAUUCAUCAAUUUUGCUGUUCCAAAUUCGAUUUUUAUUAAGCAUGUAGAAUCCAAAUUUCAAAAAUCUCAAUUUCUCUUAAGCUAAGUGCUAAAUCGAUUUUUAGAUAACCUAAAUGGAUAAUGUAUCAUUCUUAAGCUAUUUCCACCAUCAAUAGACCAAGAUUUUGGGUUUUUAAAGAAAACCCUAAGUUCAAAUCGAGUAAGAAUGGUGAAUUUGAGGUUCAUACCUUGCUGGAAAGAGAGAAUUGAUGGCAGAAUUGAAAUCAGCUUUGAAAAAGAGUGAGGUUUGAGCCAAAAAUCUCUUAAAAAGCUUAAGAAUUGAAAAAUGUGUUCUUUCUCCUAGAUCUUUAAGUCUUUUGGAAGAGAGGAGAAGAAAGAGUUUUGAUCCAAAAAGUUUGUUUCUUUUCUUUAAAAAGCAUUUUUGAAGCAAAAACGAAAAAUUUCUGGAAAUUUUUAAGUUUAUGGGAACUUACCUUUUCUUGUUUGCACAUUAGGAAAGUUCAAAACUUACGGAGGAUCUUUUCGGGUUUUACCGGGAACAUUUCGGGAAACACCGGGAAUCACCAGGCAACACCGGGAAAUACCGAAAAAGGCAGAAAUCCGCGGCAUCACCUCAACGACCAACGGCCGCGGUCAGGAGACGCGCGACCGCGGUGAUUGAGGGCUCGGCCGCGGUCAUGUUCACGGUGCCGCGGUCGACGCACCCUUGGCCACGGGUCGAACGGUCGCCACCGCGGCUCUUCCUCCUGCGGCCUAUUGUCCAAUCUUCUAGUCUUUGCCGGGCCGAGCGGCUAAAAACCUACCUUUUCUUCUUGGUUUUUCUAAUUUUCUGAUUUUUUUGUGUUUUUGUUUUAUAACAUACCUAAAACUUAAAAAGAAAAAGAAAGCAUAAAUUGUAAAAAGGAAAAGAAAACUAAAAGAAAGAGUACCUAAAUGGGUUGCUUCCCAUUAAGCGCUUUUGUUUUAAGUCGUUUAGCUCGACGUAAGCAUGAGGAAUCAGGCUGAUUUGAAUGGCACUCCACUUGAUGUGCCUUUAUCACUUCCGGUUGCUGGAGGUUUUACUUCUUCUCCUUGAGGAGAAGUCUUCUUACCUUUACUCUUCUUUCGGACUUUAAUGUUGUUCAGAACCCUUUUUGUGUUUUUGAUCAGCUCCUGGAUUUGGUCCUCACUAGUUUCUGUUGCAUCUGGUGGAAUGAUGAUCUUGAUCUUUGCAAAAGCUUUCGGCUUCUCCUUUUCUUUCUCUUUUGGCAUGUUUCCUUUGCUUGGAAAUUCUUCUAAGAUAGUAGGAUAGUACAUUUUUCUGUCCACAUUGAGGAAAACAGCAUGCCGGUUUGCGUGAUCGAUAAUUGCUCCUACUGUAGCUAGGAAUGGUCUCCCGAAAAUGAGUGGCCUCUCCAUGUCUUUAUCCAUCUCUAGGACUUGGAAAUCUGCUGGAACAGUCUUAUCUCCCACUAGAACUUGUAGAUCGUGAAUCGCCCCUUCAGUAUCUUUUUGAGAUAAAUCUCCAAAGAUAACCUUAACCGUCGAUGUCCUUAAGGUUUUUAUGCCCAAUUUUUCGGCAAAUGUCUUAGACAUGAUGUUGACAUUGGCUCCGGAAUCGCACAAGCAGUCUGUAAACUUGAUUCCUGAAAUGAAACACUGGAAAACAAAACGUCCCGGAUCAUCGGCUUUGGUAAGCCUUUGAAACGGUGAUAGUUCAGGUACCUUAAACGGUGGCUGCUUGGGAUCGAUAUCCUUGUACAGCGGUACAAAGAUUGGGGUUUCUUCUUUCUUUCCAUCGGUUCCGGCCUCUUCUUCGGGCAAUGUGGUUAUGGCGUUGCAAAACUUCUUAGCGUUAUCUUCAACUCUUCCUGGAAGAACUCCACUUUUCCUCUUCAUAGAGUCGGCCGUUUGGGCGACUUGCACAUCUAAUUUUUUUACGUGCGAAGAUAAAGAUUCAAACUUACCAUUCAGAUCAUUGUACAUGCAGACCACUUUCACGUUCACGUCUUUAGAUGCUUUUUCGUUCGUCAUAACGAGCUGUUGGAUUGACUGUUCAAGUCUACCGAUUUGUGAAGCUAGCUGGUUCGUCGUGACUCCCUGCUGUUGUACAAAUUGAUUGUUAAAACCCGUACCUUGGUAGUUAUAUGGCUGUCGCGGUUGAUAUGGUACUAUUCCUCCAAAGUUUCCACCUUGAAACUUGUUUUGGAAGGAUUUUUGCUGAGGUGGGUAGUACUGAUCUUGAGGAUUCUCCACAUUUGGAUUGCGGUAAGAGAGAUUGUUGUAAUUUGCAUUCCGGAAGUUGUUGUUGAAGUUGUUGUUGGAGCGAUUUUGGUAUGGCAUUAGUGCUCCUACGUAGUUCACAUCUUCUUCUUGAAAUGCUUGAUUAAUGUGAUCGAUAUCACUAGGUCCUUCCUCUUCUGCGCCAUUUUUGGUUUCACAGGCAUGGAUCGGGCGAUUGUUGCUCUUCAGAAGCUGGUUCACCAUGUUCUUCAACUCGGUUAUCUCCUUGUUGUCUGUUCCGGAUUGCUUCAUCGAUCGAUCGUAUUCAGGACAGUCAUUGCUAUUGGCUUGAGCCAAAUUUUCGAUGAGAGCUCUUCCUUGGGUUAUCGUCUUUUGCCCAAAAUCUCCAUUGCUAGCUGUAUCAAGUGAAAGUUUGUAUUUUGGUUGCAAACCUCGAUAAAAUGUGCUUAGCAGGCUUGAUCCAUGAAAUCCAUGGUGAGGAGUCACGUUCAUAUUCCUUAAAACGUUCCCAAGCUUCAUAGAAAGAUUCAGUUGGCCCUUGUUGAAAGGUUGAGAUCUUCGUUCUCAAAUUGUUCGACCUUGACUUAGUGUAGAAGUGGUUUAGGAAAGCAGUUCUACAUUCUUCCCAAUUGGUAAUCGAUCCUGCAGGCAAAGACUUCAACCAACGGUGAGCUUUAUCUGCUAAUGAAAAAGGGAACAACUUACACUUUAAAUAGUCAGGUGGAACUUGGUUUGUUCUCAUCAUGCUGCAAAUUUCUUCAAAAAGCUCGAUAUGGUCCAUUGGGUGCUCAGAAGGAACUCCAUGGAACUGGUUUUGCUUCACCAAUGAGAUGAUUUGAGGCUUGACUUCAAACUCAUUCCGGUUUGGAAAUGGUACUUGAAUCGCAGAUCGAUUCUGAAAAUUUUGAGUAUGUGCAUCAAAAUCAGCUAUGCGAUGGUUCUUGGCUUGUCUUUGGUGUUGAUUUGCUGGCGGAAUGGGGCGGUGAAUGCGUUUAUUCGGCUGCAUUGCUGGGUGGUCACCAUCGGCUGCAUUGAUGGGUGGAUCAAGGUCUUCACGUCCUUCUCUCUCUCGGUUCUGGUGGUUUCUUGGAAGAACCUCAUCCUCCUCUCCAUCUUGUCGAGCAUGAUCACCUUUUAUGUGAUCAUUCUCUUUGUUUUCUCCAUGUUCGGACCCGUCUUGGUCCAUAUUUAAAUUUCGAUUAAUAGGAUCUCUAGGCUGGUCGUCGUUGGCCAUUCCUUGCGUUCGUCUAAGUCUUCGAAGUUUUCUUUCGUGUCUGUCUAUCUCGUCUAGAAUUGGAAUGUCUCCUGCAGGUCUACGCCUGGUAUUCAUGAAAUUCAGAGAAAAACAAAAGAAGGGAAAGAUAGUUCAGAAAAACUUUAAGAAAGAACUAGAGAUCAGGUGUCUAGAACAGAAGUUAAAACAAGAAAAAUAGCAAAAGGCAGCGAAACAAAUCCCCGGCAACGGCGCAAAAAACUUGAUGUGCUCGUGUCAACUACGUGAGGGAACAAGUUUUACCCUUAACAAGACAAAUGAAAGCCGCAAGUGCACAGCUAAUCAGUUGUAAUAUUUAGGGAUCGAAUCCACAGAGAUUUGUGUGCCUGAUAUUCUUCUACGGUUUUUAACUUUAUGUCUAGACUAAAUUGGUUUUAAAGGUUGGUUGUUUUUCUUGCGAAUUAAACUAAAACAAAAGAAAGCAAAUAAAUCUAUCCUAAAAAACAGGUAAGAAAAUCGAAUGAAAUGCAAUUAGAAUAGGCAAAUAUCGAAUGAAAGACUAAUAAGGCAAGUAAGAUAUCGCAUGAAAAGUAAAUAAAGCAAGUAAAUAAUGAACUAAGGAAAUUGAAAUGCAGGUCUAAAAAAGCAACUAAAAAUCGAUGGGAUUGUAAACUAUGGCUAAAAAUGCUGAGCUUUUGGGAACUCUAAGGGAUCAUAAUCGGUUUUAACACUAAGGUAGAUAGAUUAGGAUUGACAGAUAACGAUAUAUGGGUUCUAGAGCUAGAGUACGGCGGUAUGACUACGUCACUGUCGUGAUCAUAACCAACAGUUUCUCGCAACCCUGACCAGUAGGUUUCCACUCUGGCCCUGGAAGGGAGAGAACGCAAGAGCUGCUCAAGACUCGUCAAUACUCACGAUCUCGCCGCAGGUAGGUUUCCACUCCUACGGAAAAAUUGCCUUUUCAUUCUAGGGCUGAUACUUAAUGAAAACUUUCGCAACACUAACUAUCUAGAUCAGAUACUAGGUGAUCAAACAAGCAUACAUGCAAUAAGAACAAGAAUAAACAGAGAACAGGUCGAAAUCCCAGAUCUAUAAACCUAGAUGUCUUAAUCGAUUAUGAGAGCCCCUUUCGGGAACCCUAAGCCCAACUCGGGAUCAACUCAGACAUGGCUGAGUUCGACAUCAUCAUUGGUUUUAAUAAAAGUAAUGAAAAAAAGUAAAGAAAAGAGAUAAAGAAAGCUUCUCUAUUGAAGAACUCGGACUUGAACAAUCUUCUACAAAAAUCUCAUAAAAACGGCUAAAGGAAAAGGGUUUAUGUAAAGUAUGAAGGGUUCUCCUUAAAAACGACCUAAAUGACAUGUAUUUAUAGUCUCCAAUACUCCAUGGUCUCUAGGGUUCCAGAAUUGAGGCUGAGAAUGACUUUGGGCUUCAGAUAAGUGGGCUUUAACUCGGAGAUUGAUUGCCGCAGUCGGGAGUGUUGUGACCGCGGCAAUUGGCUUGUUGGUCGCGGUCGGGAAGCUUCUGACCGUGGCAAAUAGCUUGUUGGCCGCGGUCGGGUGAGUUGUUGACCGACUUCGAAUGGCUCCGGGGCUAAUGAAAUAUCUUGAGAUCCAACCGUUGGAAUGUCUCCAAACCAAGUGCAUCUGAAAGCUGGUUGAUUCUUCUAUAAGUUGUCUAAUUUUGAGGGUGAUCAGACGGUGAGAAGGUCUUCGUCUCUCCAUGAGAGUUCUGACGGUCUGCAUUUAUCCAAAAUAGUUUUUUUGUUCCAUUUUGUGCCUCUUUAUCCCAAAUUACCUGAAAAGUCUUUUAAAAUCCGGAAACAUAGAAAUCCUUUGAAAACCUUUGAAAAUGGAGUAAAACCACCUGUAAAAGAUAUUAAAAUGAUCCAUAAAAAUGGUCAAAAUCCGGUGUUAUCACCUUUAAGCCAAUCAAGCAGAAAAGAAGAAAGCUCGGCCCCAAACGAGCUAAAGCAGUUAACGACGAAGUCGAGAGAUUACUCAAAGUAGGAUCAAUCGCCGAGGCCAAAUAUCCGGACUGGCUCGCGAAUCCGGUGGUCGUGAAGAAGAAGAACGGCAAGUGGCGGGUCUGUGUGGAUUUCACUGACCUCAACAAGGCGUGCCCAAAAGACAGUUUUCCCUUGCCACACAUCGACCGGCUUGUCGAAGCCACUGCAGGAAAUAGAUUGUUAACAUUUAUGGACGCGUUCUCUGGCUACAAUCAGAUCCUGAUGCAUCCUGAUGAUUGGGAAAAAACGGCAUUUAUAACUGAUCGCGGGAUAUACUGCUACAAAGUCAUGUUGUUCGGGCUCAAGAACGCGGGAGCAACAUAUCAACGGCUCGUCAAUAAAAUGUUCGCGGCUCAGCUCGGAAAAACCAUGGAGGUAUACAUUGACAACAUGUUAGUCAAAUCACUCAAGGAGGAAGACCACGUCGCGCAUCUACGGGAAUGCUUCGAGCAAUUGAACAAGCACAACAUGAAACUAAACCCGGCAAAGUGCAGAUUUGCGGUCACCUCGGGAGAAUUCCUCGGCUAUCUGGUAACUCACUGAGGCAUAAAAGCAAACCCCAAGCAGAUCAAGGCAUUAAUCGAGAUGCCCUCUCCAAGGACGAAGCACGAAGUGCAAAAGCACACAGGAAGGGUCGCCGCGCUAAACAGGUUUAUUUCCCGUUCUACCGACAAGUGCCUGCCUUUCCACGACACCCUUCGGGGAAACAAGAAAUUCGAGUGGGACGAGCGAUGCGAAGCAGCUUUCCAAGAGUUGAAGAAUUAUCUGGCGAGUCCACCGAUCUUAGCAAAACCAGUCGAAGGAGAGCCGCUCUUCCUCUACAUCGCCGUAUCUGCUACAGCUGUGAGUGGAGUGCUUAUCAGAGAAGAACGACCCGAGCAAAAACCCAUUUUCUACAUCAGCCAGACACUGACCGACGCCGAGACCCGCUACCCCCAGAUCGAGAAGGUCGCCUUAGCCGUCGUAGUCUCGGCUCGCAAACUGCGCCCGUAUUUUCAACCACAUUCAAUUGUUGUGCUCGCUACACUUCUGCUGCGCUCGAUCCUACACAGCCCGAGCCAAUCCGGUCGGCUCGCCAAGUGGGCCAUAGACUGAGCGAAUACGACAUCGAGUAUCGGAACGGGUCGUCUGCAAAGUCACAGGUGCUCGCAGAUUUUCUCAUCGAACUUCCAGCCGAAGCAACGAACGAGCCAACCCCGGACGAAGUAUGGACGCUGCACGUCGACGGCUCGUCAUCUAAACACGGCUCAGGAAUAGGAAUCCGCCUCACCUCUCCCACAGGAGAGAUACUGGAGCAGUCGUUUCGCCUAAACUUCCACGCCUCGAACAACGAAGCAGAAUACGAAGCAGAAUACGAAGCACUGAUCGCCGGUGUACGACUAGCGCAAAGAAUUGGAGUUCAAAAGAUAAUAACCUUUUGCGAUUCACAGCUCGUAGCAUGCCAGUUCAACGGAGAGUACGAGGUGAAAGAUGGACGAAUGGGAGCUUACCUCAACGUGGUCCGAGAGUUGGUGCAGAAGUUCGACGAGUUCGAGCUCACACAAAUUCCCCAAGGAGAAAACACCUCGGCUGACGCCUUGGCAGCACUCGCCUCGACCUCAGACCCAGACCUCCGACGGACGAUUCCAGUUGAAUUCAUCGAACGUCCUAGCAUCGAAGAGGUAGAAAGAGUUCGGCUGAUAAAUCCUCCCGAACAAGAACCGGAAGACGACAAAGCCAUUCCUAUGGACGAAGACGCCCUACCAGCCGAGCCGGAGUACGGCUGCAACAAAAAAUGGCUCGGAGCUAUCCGAGUAUAUAUCGCCGAUGGAGAAGUCCCAACCGACAAGUGGGAAGCCCGCAAAUUAAAAGCAUAGGCCACGCGGUAUGUCCUUGUCGACGGAGAGGUGUUUAAAUGGAGAUUUUCAGGACCUCUCAUGACAUGCGUCGAAGGACCGGAGGCAAGAAAGAUCAUGCACGAACUGCACAGCGAAGCGUGCGGAAACCAUUCUAGCGGAACGUCGCUCGCUAUCAAGAUAAAACGGCACGGUUACUUCUGGCCUACGAUGGUCAAGGACUGCGAAACAUUUACGGCAAAGUGCGAGAAGUGUCAACGGCACGCUCCAACAAUUCAUCAACCUACCGAGCUGCUCUCAUCAAUUUCGUCAUCUUACCCGUUCAUGAGAUGGUCGAUGGACAUCGUCGGACCUCUACAUCGAUCGAAGCAGAAGCGCUUUCUGCUCGUCCUCACGGGUUAUUUUUCCAAGUGGGUCGAGGCUGAUUCCUACGCAAGCAUAAAGGAUGUUCAAGUCGAACACUUCGUAUGGAAAAAUAUCAUCUGCAGACACGGGUCCCCUACGAGAUAGUCACCGACAACGGAUCCCAGUUCAUCUCGACGCGUUUUGAAGCCUUCUGCGAGAAGUGGAAAAUCCGUCUAAGCAAAUCUACACCAAGAUACCCUCAAGGGAACGGACAAGCUGAAGCAGCCAACAAGACAAUCCUAGACGGUCUGAAAAAGAGGCUCGACGCCAAGAAAGGACGAUGGGCAGACGAACUCGAAGGAGUCCUUUGGUCGCAUCGAACGACCCCGCGCCGAGCCACCGGAGAAACUCCAUUCGCUUUGGUCUACGGAGCGGAAUGCGUAAUUCCCCCCCGAGGUGGACUUCCCAGGUAUUCGACGAAGACUUCUACCAGGACAUGAGGGCUUAAACCACUUAAUGAUGCUAGAUGAGCUCGAUCUAAUCAACGAAAGGCGUGACCAGGCUUUAGUCCGAAUCCAGAACUAUCAACAAGCAACGGCGAGGUACUUCAACAAAAACGUUCGUAGUCGAAGAUUCAAAGAAGGAGAGCUCGUCCUUCGAAAGAUUUUCCAAAACACUGCCGAGAAGAAUGCAGGAAAGCUCGGAGCAAACUGGGAAGGUCCUUACAAGAUUACAAAAGUAGUUCGCGCAGGAGUCUACGAACUCGCAACCCUAGCUGACGAAGCGAUUCCAAGAUAAUGGAACGCAAUGCAUCUAAAGAAGUAUUAUCACUAAAGCUACAGUACGGUCAACAUGAACUACGGGACGGCUUGAUCCCUGCAAAGGGUACGUAGGCAGCCCGUCCUCGGACGGAUUCAGCUGUCCCCCCUCCUAAAAAGGGGGGGGGGGGAGUGGGUACGUAUACACAUACUUUCAUUUAACUCUACAAUUUUAGCUCACCUACCUAGGAACAUUGCCACUUCGGCACAUUUUCAGUUCGUUUUAAGUUAUCUACUUAUUUCAUGUUCACCUCGGAAUUCUAGUUCGUUCAUUAUCGCUUCGGCUAGUUUCUCAUUCUUUUAAAUCAGCAGCUUAUUUCAUAAUUCGCCUCGGAUUCUUUAAUUCGUUCACCCAUCACUUUGACAUGUUAUCAUGACUUAAUCGUCUCAGACCUUUUACUUGCCUUCACUUUCAGUUCGACAAAUUAAGUCUCCAGACGCCUCGUCUCGUUGCUGGCCACAACGGGACAACGGAUACAAAGUUCUCUAAACGGACUUUUACCACCUUUCUUAGGACGAGGGUGCAAGUUACAUCCUCUAUGAAUAAAAUUAAAGCGCGCUAUACAAAUAUCAGACCAAAAACGUAUCGGUCGCCACAGUUUACUAUCGCACACAGAUUAUAAGUCGAGACUACAUCGCUUUCUCUAAAACCGAAGUGAACUCUUAAAACCCGGCAAAACACACUCAUCCUCUCGGAAACGCCGGUCUAUGGUCAUAUUCAACGAGACUACUAUAUCCUCUUGAUCUUUCGCCUCGUCAAUGAGAAAACACAUAACUUACCUGAUAAAUACUUCGGCUUCUUUCUCAAAACAAUCUUAUAACAGCUCACCUCAAUGCGGACCUCUCUCAGUGACAGAAUGGAUAAACCCCAAAUCAUUUUUGGUUAAUAAAAACAAAACGCCUCGUCGUUUACACGGCUCGGCAUCAUGCAAAGAAAAACGCCUCGUCGUUGAACACGGCUCGGCAUUACCAACAAAAGUUGCCUGGAUAUUAUCACUUAACACUUUUUAGCGUCACCUAAAACAAAAGACGCUCCACAAACCAACUCCCAGCUCGGGAUUCAGAACUCAAACGGGAUCCUGAACAACUCACCCCUUAGCCCGUAUUUCUAUCAAUUUCAAAGAAUUCGGCUAGAAAAGCAAUCGAGAUCAUUCUCGACACAGCUCGAUAAGCCAAUCGGUGACAACUCUUUCCAAACAAACAGUUUUUGUAAACAUUUUCACGGAUCGUCAAGGACAAACGAAUCAAAUCCGAAAACGGCUAAGGAAAAGAUAAUAUAACCAAAUGGAAAAAUAACAGUCAGGUGGAUAAAGCCAUCCAGGCACCGGUUUCACAAGAUUUCAAGAAGCAGAUAACAUCACCUAAAAUCCUAAGUACAAAAGCAUGUGAGACGAAAAGAUAGGAGAAAGCGGAGAGGAUCAGGCCGCAGACUGCGUUUCACACUCGGCAAGGAGGUUCGAGAGGGCCGGCGUCUCCGCAUUCGAUCCGGUCGGAUCUACGACGCCCAGGUUGGCCGCUGUCUCCUCGAGCGGCUCGUUACCGAGACUGGUGUCCACCUAGUCCGGCGAUACGGGCGAAAAAACCAGGUUACCUCGAAUCUCAGAGGCAAUGCGCUCAUACGCCUCGUCGUCGGCGUACUUGCUCUCCCAGCUCUUCAGCUUCGCCUCCUCGUCAUCGAGCGUUGGGGCGUCCAGUUUCAUCAGGUCGGCAAUCAUCGCAAGAUUGCCCUUGAUCUGCCCCAGCUCGUUCUUGUCGGUUUUGGCCUUCUCGAGCUUGGCCAAACCUUCCUUUACCUUGGCGAGGCGUUCCUGAAACUUAUCCUUUGCCUCGAUACGCUUUUUGAGCAACGCCACCUCGGCGCUUUUAGCUCUCCUAGCCUCCUCCAGGCAAAUAGCCGAGGCGGAGACCUUGUCAAUAUUGGUGCAGAGAACUAUCUUCUCCUCUUCCAGCCUGGACACCCUGGUCAUCGCCUCGUCCAGCUUCCCCUUUGCCAACGCGGUCUCGUUCGGAGCCUCGUCCAAGCGACGUUCAACCUUAGACAGGUCCGUCUCGUAUUCAGCCAUCAGCUCGUUGAUGGUCGCUACAAACUGCAAGGAAUAAUGCGCGUUAAACACUUGGUACCACGCUGUGCCAUCGCGCCGUACGACCUCGGUCUCCUCAGCUUUUCUGGAGGAGGAAGACGCGUGUUCGCAUUAUUAACGCGCGCGAACAUUACUGCCGAGGCGUCAGGGUCGUCAACGACCAGUUUGCGCGCAGCGUGAUCACCGGGAGUCGACUUGCGCUUCUUCUUGGACGGCUCAUCUUUUGGAUAGCAACGCCCGCUGAACGUUUCCGGCUAGGGUCGUGCUUACGUACAACCGAGGUCGGGGGCCUCGAUGACUUCGGGAGAGCCAGAAUAGCGGAAUUUGAAGGAGUUUUACUCCGCGCCGCCGAGUCAUCUUUGGACGCCUCGGGAAUAAUCUCGCCCGGUUCCACCUCGGGCGCUGUUUCUUUUUCGGCCGCCUCGGCAACGUUCGCCUCCGUGGCUCGGACCGUGUCGUCACCUUCACGGCUCGGCGGAUCGGUCUGAGGGAUAGCCUCGGUCUCUGUUUGAGCCGCCUCGGCGGCUCGUCUCGCGGCUUCUUCCUCUUCACGCCUCUUCUUAUCUCUGAGAGUAAUGAUCACCAUUUUCUCUCUGGUAUCUCUUGAGGAGCUGGAAGAUGAAGAGCUAACAGGGACUCCGGCAAGAAUAGCUCGCGCUUUUUCUACUCUCUCAAGUGUGAAAUUCUUCCUCCAGUUAAGCUUCCGAGCCGAAAGGGAGUCUCGAACAAUAAAGAGGUCGUCGGGAAUCGGGGAAAGAAUAUUCCGAACUGCAAAAACAACGCAAAAAGAAAAAAGAUUCAGUAAGGGAAAAUGCAAAAAAAACAGUUCCGAGCCGAGGCAAAGCUUCGGAUCGGCUACCAAGUGUCCCCAAGCGGUCUUGGUUUUUUUAAUGUAAUCCUCGCCGACCGACGCCUCGUUCACCAAGACAUAGAAGAAGCGUUCGGUCCAAAACUGAAACUUGCUUGGAAAACCACCUAUAAUCCGGCGAUUGGACUUGUUAGAAAUAUAGAAUCUAUCUCCCUUCGGAGCUUUCCUGAUUUUCAGCAAGUUCAGUGAUGUGCUCGUGUCAACUACGUGAGGGAACAAGUUUUACCCUUAACAGGACAAAUGAAAGCCGCAAGUGCACAGCUAAUCAGUUAUAGUAUUUAGGGAUCGAAUCCACAGAGAUUUGUGUGCCUGGUAUUCUUCUACGGUUUUUUAACUUUAUGUCUAGACUAAAUUAGUUUUUAAGGUUGGUUGUUUUUCUUGCGAAUUAAACUAAAACAAAAGAAAGCAAAUAAAUCUAUCCUAAAAAACAGGUAAGAAAAUCGAAUGAAAUGCAAUUAGAAUAGGCAAAUAUCGAAUGAAAGACUAAUAAGGCAAGUAAGAUAUCGCAUGAAAAGUAAAUAAAGCAAGUAAAUAAUGAACUAAGGAAAUUGAAAUGCAGGUCUAAAAAAAGGCAAGUAAAAAUUGAUGGAAUUGUAAACUAUGGCUAAAAACGCUGAGCUUUUGGGAACUCUAAGGGAUCAUAAUCGGUUUUAACACUAAGGUAGAUAGAUUGGGAUUGACAGAUAACGAUAUAUGGGUUCUAGAGCUAGAGUACGGCGGUAUGACUACGUCACUGUCGUGAUCAUAACCAACUGCUUCUCGCAACCCUGACCAGUAGGUUUCCACUCUGGCCCUGGAAGGGAGAGAACGCAAGAGCUGCACAAGACUCGUCAAUACUCACGAUCUCGCCGCAGGUAGGUUUCCACUCCUACGGAAAAAUCGCCUGUUUCAUUCUAGGGCUGAUACUUAAUGAAAACUUUCGCAACACUAACUAUCUAGAUCAGAUACUAGGUGAUCAAUCAAGCAUACAUGCAAUAAGAACAAGAAUAAACAGAGAACAGGUCGAAAUCCCAGAUCUAUAAACCUAGAUGUCUUAAUCGAUUAUGAGAUCCCCUUUCGGGAACCCUAAGCCCAACUCGGGAUCUACUCAGACAUGGCUGAGUUCGACAUCAUCAUUGGUUUUAAUAAAAGUAAUGAAAAACAGUAAAGAAAAGAGAUAAAGAAAGCUUCUCUAUUGAAGAACUCGGACUUGAACAAUCUUCUACAAAAAUCUCAUAAAAAGGGCUAAAGGAAAAGGGUUUCUGUAAAAUAUGAAGGGUUCUCCUUAAAAACGACCUAAAUGACAUGUAUUUAUAGUCUCCAAUACUCCAUGGUCUCUAGGGUUCCAGAAUUGAGGCUGAGAAUGACUUUGGGCUUCAGAUAAGUGGGCUUUAACUCGGAGAUUGAUUGCCGCGGUCGGGAGUGUUGUGACCGCAGCAAUUGGCUUGUUGGCCGCGGUCGGGAAGCUUCUGACCGCGGCAAAUAGCUUGUUGGCCGCGGUCGGGUGAGUUGCUGACCGACUUCGAAUGGCUCCGGGGAUAAUGAAAUAUCUUGAGAUCCAACCGUUGGAAUGUCUCCAAACCAAGUGCAUUUGAAAGCUGGUUGAUUCUUCUAUAAGUUGUCCAAUGUUGAGGGUGAUCAGACGGUGAGAAGGUCUUCGUCUCUCCAUGAGAGUUCUGACGGUCUGCAUUUAUCCAAAAGAGUCUUUUUGUUCCAUUUUGUGCCUCUUUAUCCCAAAUUACCUGAAAAGUCUUUUAAAAUCUGGAAACAUAGAAAUCCUUUGAAAACCUUUGAAAAUGGAGUAAAAACACCUGUAAAAGAUAUUAAAAUAAUCCAUAAAAAUGGUCAAAAUCCGGUGUUAUCAUUCAGCAGGUGAUUCAGUUCGAUAUCAAGCCUGCACUCAAAGCUUCGAACCAAAAUGCCAAUCAUAUGCCGUAGACCCCUCGGCAUGAUCUGCCUAAUUGAGAUCCCAUGUUUCCAGAGGUAUUCAAGGAUAACUCCAGGGAUCGGGAACCAGAGAAAUCAAAGCUCGAAGAACGCCUCGUACAGAGUGAAGUGAUUCUCGGGAGGCUUGUCGUCUCGGUCGUUCUUAUCUGGAACGAUAAACUCCACCGCCUCGGAUAUCUCGAAACAACGCCUGAACGCCUCGAGUGAGUCAGGGGAGGAAUGCGUAGAACCAGGCGGGUCAGGUUUUUGUCUUUUCACCCGUUGCCUUCGCCCAGAUGAAGAAGCGCCUCAGGACGCCAUGAAACGUUCUAAUUCAUGCUUUGCCUCGAACAGAUCAAAGGGAAACGCCUCCUCCUCGGCUUUUACUGCAGCACGAUUAACGUCUUCGUCAAGAGCGGGACCCUGAGGCUGGCUCGUCGAAACCGACGGCUCGUCAUCUAGAGAGCGGGCGCCUGACGGAUUUGAAUGAUUCGACGCCUCGUCGCUUUCAGGUGAACGGUUGGAAGGGCUCGGCGAAAUGGAUGCCUCGGAAGAUUCUGUUGCACUUCUCGCCUCGGCAUUUACAUGGCUCGGUUCGUAGUUAAAAAGCGAAUCCAACGAAUCAUCAGAACGGUUCGACAUGAUUUACAGAUUAUACGGGAAUUACAAGGUUACACGGCGAACUUCCAUCGGAAAAAGAUCUAGAGCGGCGGAGACCUCAGAACCCUAGACGGAAAAUAAAUAAACAAGACAGAGAAAGAAGAGAGAAGGGAGAGCUACCUUUUAGUGAAAACGAGUGGAUCUGAAGAUUAUGAGAAGGAACAAAAGAGCUCACCUAUUUAUAGAAAAACCGAAGCGCGUGGGUUAUGUGUGAACCUCGGGAGACCGUCCAACAGCGCGUGGGAUCCGCGGCGUAUUAACUAGCUCCAACUGCGUCGGUUACACGCGCCAAUAAAUCAGGAAAAUUCUUUCGGAAGACCAACGGUUGGGAUACCUGAGUUUUCAGCCGACAUCUCGCCACAGUAAACGCCUCGUCGUUAACAAAACGGCUCGGCAUUAACUUUUUCUUGAAACGCCUCAUCGUUAUCAAAAUGGCUCGGCAUGACUUUCUCAAAAACGCCUCGUCAUUUAUUCGGCUCGGCAUGACCUUCUCAAAAACGCCUCGUCGUUUAUUCGGCUCGGCAUAAUAUUCACAAGUCGCCUCGCGUACAACCCUCUUCUAAGGAUAUCUUCCCAAACAGCAUAGACCGCGCCACGCCUCGUCGUUAAACUCGAAUCACGGCUCGGCAUUAUCAACACAAACGCCUCGUCGUUAAACUUGAAUCACGGCUCGGCAUUAUCAACGUAAACGCCUCGUCGUUAAACUAGAAUCACGCCUCGGUAUCCUUGACACCCUCUGGGAAUGCCUCGGCACUUUUUCGAAAAAGCGUCUCAUCACUAACGAGGCGGCUCGGCACAUUCUUCACAUAACCUCGCCAAAACGGCUCGCUACUACACACUGUCGAAGGGCGGCUCGGCAUCUUUAUUUCCAAAACGCCUCACUUGGGACUGUGUCGCAACAGCUCGACUCGAUGGUCUAUCCUAUGAACCUCGUCACUCUCGCCUCCGAAACUGACGAGCUGGGGGGCUAACUGUUGGGGUCGGUUUCACCCUAAUCGGUUUAAACCAUCUCAAUAACAUUGGAGAGCCGAUUCCGACAAGGAGAACCGGUGACCUGUCAAAAAUGGGCCGAGCCCCACAGAAGAAGGCCAAGCUCAAGUGGGCCGAGCCGUGAGGUGAAAAUGGGUGAGCCGCGUAUGAGAGCAGACGGGCCGAGCUGUGUCGUGAGGUAUGGGCCGAGCCGCACUUCAACAUGAUUGGACCGAGCCGCGCCUCACGAGUUAGGCCAAGUCACGUCUCAACUCGAAUGGCAAGUGGGCCGAGCCAUGGAGAAGGUUAGAUGGGCCGAGCUGUGAGAAGAACGGUGAGCGGGCCUAGCAGCGUGAGAGGAGGCAUGGGCCGAAUCGCUUCCCUGUGUGUUGGGCCGAGCCGGUUUUCCAAGAUGGGCCGAACCAAGGCUUUAGAAGACGAAAGCCCACAGAAGCCCUAGGUGAAGUAUUAUGACGGUGGCCGCACGAAGCGAUAAGGAAAUAUACCUAAAAUCUCUCCCAAGAUUCUCGGGAGAGGCGGUUUAAGAAGUUAGUAUAAAUAGGAGAUUUUUACGAUUCAUUAUGUAACUUUUGCCACCCUAAGCAAUAAGACCUAAACACUUUAACAGCAAUAAAAAUCCUCUUUUGAUCUUACUGUUCUUGCGAUUACCCUAGAUGUUUCGGAUCCCUUAGUUUUUCCCUUACAAAUUUUUGGUUGUGCGAGUUUUGGCUCACACAGGUAUCAGAGCUAAAUCGAUCUCUAGGAUUAUGGUUAUUUUCUUAUUAGAUUAGGAGAUAUCUAGUUUUAAUAGGAAAAGGAAAGUGGCUUAGCAAAGUUGUGCAAACCACUAUAUAUAUGUAAGUCAUUGAUGAUGUUGCAUCUAAGAGUAUUCGGAUGCAUCAGUUUUGCAAAGACAGAGGCUCAACACUUGAAGAAGCUGGAUGAUAGAUCACGAGUACUUGUUCACUUAGGAACGAAACCAGGAUCAAAACCAAGAAAAUAGUUGUGAGCAGGGAUGUGAUCUUUGAUGAAAGCAAAGGCUGGAAGUGGGGUGAGAAGGAAAUCAGUAACAACACUGGAAUUUCUAUAAUCAGUUUUGGAGAACACAAUUAUAAUAACUCAAGGGGAGAUGACCAUGAUCUCGAAGAAGAAACAGAGGAAAAGGAGGAAGAGAGUUCCGAAGAAGAGGUCACUGAGCAUGAAAUACAAGUUCCCAAACCCGAGACAGAGAUGAUAUAUCAAGGAGAAGAAGUUGAACAAGGACUAAGGAGAUCAACAAGGUCAAGAGUAAGCCCGAGUUAUCUCGAUGACUUUGUCACUUUAGCCAAGAUUGAUAGUGAACACCUAUUGCUACUUAUAAACGAAGAGCCAUGGGAUUGCAAUGAGCAAAAGGCUGAUAUCUUAACCAAGGCACUAGGAAGAAACAAGUUCAAGGAGAUGAGAUAUCUCAUUGGAGUUCUAGGUGUGUCACAAAAGGAUUUCAAGCUUAAGGGGGAGAAUGUUGGAAUAAGCUUGAAAGAAACUUGAAGUGCAACUUUCCUAAUCCUAAUCAAAGUGUGUUUUCUAGAAGGUUAGGAUUAGAAAAGGAAAUUUAGGAGUUAUCUAAAAAGGAAAUUUGUUUCUCUAUUGAAAUUAGGAGUUAUCUAUUCCAUUCUCUAUAUAAGAGUUGCAAAAUUUGUGGUAGACAUUAUGAGUUGAGAGAGUGAUUAAGAGAGACUUUAGUUUUUGAGUGAUUUUUAAACAAUGGAGAUACCAGGUAAUUAAUCUGGUAUCCCUUUCUCUCUGUUUGAAUGUUCAAACAAUUAUCUGGAGCUUCCCCAGAGCUUAUAAACAGGCUAGUACCAGAGCACGUUAGGCGACAGAUGAGUGGAGGCUUUCCAUUUCAAGCUGCUCCGUAUAAACGACUUCGAAACCAAGAUGCUUUGUUCUUGGUAGAUAAGCCCAUCAAGCUUUUGCUUGGGGAUGUAGAAUUUCAAUUAUUUUAGGGGCCAUUUAGUAUAAAUAUUAGUUGGUUAAGAUGGUGCAGUGAUCUAUGAAAAAAGUGUUUAUUUGUCAUUGUAUUUGGCAUAUUUUAUUUUUAAUCAACAUUAUAUUAUAGAAAUAACUUUUCUUAAACAAUUUAAAAUAAAACAAAUGAAACAAAAACUACAAAACUCCAUCGUCCACUUUACUGUUCGCAUCUACUAUUCAAAAUAAAGAAAAUAACAUAUAUAUUCUAAGUGGAGGUUAUUGGGGAUAAAACGUUUCCUAAUUUUAGUAACAACUAAUAGCAUUUGCAGAUUUUUGCAAGAAAAAAGAAGUUAAAUCCAUUUCUGAAUUGGAAAAAAGGUUUGAAAAUUUCUCAAAACAGAAAGAAAAGAAAAUAGUUAUAAAAAAAAAAGCAUAUAUGUAUUUCCAUUCCUAGACGAUUCUUUACCGAUCUUGCGUGGUGAAAAAAGUAAUACUCAUAUUUUUUCUAUGUUUGGUGUUGAAGAGAUUUUCCAAUAAUCUAUUAUAAAAGAUAAACUUACUAUUACGAAAGAAAAAUUAGGAAAAAAAAUCUGUAUAUACAUUGUUCACUCGAGCUAAAACUAUAGAAACUAAUGAAUAAUUCAACAAAAUCAGGAUUCUUUCUAGUAAUGAUGAAACUUAUUACAAAUAAGAAAGAGUACAAAUAUAUGUGAUCCCAGCUUACAAUGAACCUGCUCCCUACUUAGCAAAAACAAAACUUUUCCAACAAUGUUUUCUAUUCUAGUUGUAUUUAUUCCCCUAUCUGGUUAACCCCUCUACUUCAUUGUGACUUUGUAUGUUCUUCACUUUCUGGUCAAUAUAGAUAUGCUUCUUGUACAAUUACAUGUAAUCCCAGUUUCCCACUCCGAAACCAAACUUUCCCACAUAAGGUCAGCAAUCUAAAAUCUUAUAUAAACCAUCAUAAACAUAAACUUUAGAGCUAACACUGUUUUCAUACUUAAACCCUCUAACCACCCGUACCUCAAUAUCAUGGUACAUACUCCUCUCUAUUGCUAGAUUCCCACUUUCUAGAGCUUCUGAUGUUGAAUCUGCCUGUGGAGCUUAUCUUGACCACCGUGAUCUACCAGAACAUCUCCAUGUGUCUUCAUCAUCCUCGUAAUUACCUGAGACGAUAAUGCUGGUGGCUAUUGGUUCAUCUCCUGUGUAAGCCCACCAAGAACAGUUUCAUGACGGUAAAAUAAGACGUCGCUGAUCUCAACCCGAAGGGAUGGAACCCACUAAGUAUUUAUCCUGGGGUUGAGAUCGGUCGACGUGUUCUUUUACCGUCAUGAACUGUGCUUGGUGGGCUUACACAGCCAGCUACAACGUAGCUCCAAAGGUGAACCGAUAGUCAUCAGCAUUGUCAUCUUGGUAAUUACGAGGAUGAUGAAGACAUACGUGGCUUGUUACAUUAGUCCCAGAAAAGAACCAAAUGUUCUUUCUACAUCUCUUAUCAUAUAAGUCUUAUUGUCUGUUCUUUCUCUCUCUCUGUUUUGCUCCUAUGGCAUUUUUGUCUUGCUUUAGCUUGGGGUAAUAUCUCGAAUCAAUGUUCUUGUUACUCCCCUUCUCUUAUCAUAGGAAACUCAUUGUCUGUACCAUUUUCUAGUUCACAUGCCAAAGUCUUACCGUUUUAGAGUUUUCCUUAAACGCAAUCAUUUUGUAUUCUCUCUCUCUCCGUUUUGCUCAUAUGGCAUUAAUCUGUUGCAAAAAUGAUGCAGAUGAAGAAUAUUUUGACAAAACAUAAACCUUUCUCUGCUCGUUCGCUGUUCUGUCUUUCCUUCUCUCUACGAUAUCUGCAAGGCAAGAUAAAUGUUCUUUCUACUUCUCUUAUCAUAGGAGUCUCAUUGUCUGUUCUUGCAUGCCCACAUGCCGAAGUCUUAAUAUAUUUGAGUAUUUUCGAAGUUUGUUUGGUUGCUCAAUUAAACCAAUCGCAUUCAGUGAAGAAUUAAUGUGGAUUCCAUUUUCUAAACCAGACCCAUUUAUUGUGAUAGAUAAUACAUAUUUGGUAAGUUACAAACAAUAGAGAUGAAAAUUGCCCUAAGUAAAAAGGAAGAAGAAAUUAAAUAUCUAUCACACUACAAGACAUGUUUGGACCACACAAAAACUCAGGGUUUAAUAGUUUGAUCGUGUGUGAUCAAACUAACAUAUUUUUGAUUUUUGUUUUACAUUUGAUUUAUUUUGUGUGGUAUCAACCAAUGUUCUAUUUGUUUUACAAAGAACGAUAGGAGUCUCUUCCAAAAUUUCAUUCUACAUUUCAUAAUUCUUAUUGCAAAAGUUCACGAUAUCUUUUUUUGUUUGUCAUUCAUUUUAAUUUCUAGGCUGAGCUCAAAAUUUCUCGAAAAAUUUGUUGUAACAGUAUGGAGGCAGAAGCUACAACUCUUCUUUGGAUCAUGAUAUGUUUGGAUAAUCUUGGCUAUGAAGAGGUAAUUUCCGAGAGUGAUUCAAAGAUAUUGGAGAAAGCGGUAUAAGCUGAACCUCGAGAAUGGUCAAGGUUUAUAGUCUAUACCUGAGAAAUCAACAAGACAAGAAAAAUAUUAAUUCGACCAACCAUCACUUUCCAAGGAAGACGAGCAAACUAAUGUGUUGAUCUUACAGCCAAUAAAACCUCUUCAUAUGAAGUUCAUUAUGCAUUCUUGAUUAUAUUGUACGUACUCUUUGGUUGAGAAGGAGAAACGAAUUUAUAUGAAAUAUGUUUGAGCUCGAAAAAAUAAGAAAAAUAUGGCAUUAUGUUAAGGAAUGAUGAUAACUCUCCGAAAUUAACAGCAACAAAAAAAUGGAUGACAACUCCUCGUUUACUGGUUUGGAUUCUAUACUAUUACAUUUCGGUUAUUUUCUCAUUUUCACACUUUUCCAUUAUUUUAUAACAUGUUAUGAUGUCAAAAAGAAAUUACAACAUGAUAUAGUGAAAUACAAACGAUAUAACUAUUAAAGUAGCAUUAUUUUAUGGCAUUUUAAAUUUUUAAUUUUGGAUGAUGUUUACUUUUUUUAAUUAAUUUUAUUUCAAUUAGGUAUGUCUCAAGUGGUUAUUUAAAUUCUCUUUCGUUUCUAACAUAAAAUUUUGUUUUAUGUUUAUGAAACUUUUCGCCCGCGUAAAGCGCGGGCUAAAUACCUAGUUUAAUAUUUAAAAUGACACAAUCGUUUUACCAAAAUUUUUUACGUAUAGGAAAUGAUAAAAGAAAAACAUUUACUUGUAAAAUUUUAAAAAUAUAUACUAGAACAAAAAACCUGCUUGUACACGCAGGUGAUCAUCUAGUAGUUAUAAAAAUAGCAUAAUUGUAUGUAUUUCACACUCGUAGACAAUUCUUUACCGAUCUUGCGUAGUGAGAAAAAUAAUACUCAUACUAUUGUUUAUGUCUGGUGUUAAAAAGAUUUUCCAAUAAUUUAUUACAAAAAAAUAAAUUUAAUUUUCGAAAGAAAAAUUAGGAAAAAAUUUAUAUACAUGUUCAUUUGAAUUAAAACUAUGGAAACUAAUGAAGAAUUCAACAAAACCAGGAUUCUUUCUAGUAAUGAUGAAACUUAUUACAAAUAAGAAAGAGUACAAGUACAUGUAAUCUCAGUUUACAAUGAAUCUGCUCACUACUAAAAAAAAAAUGUUUUUUCCAACAAUGUCUUCUGAACCCUUUGAUCUGCUACUAUUAAUCCGAGAAGCAGAAACAUGUUUUCAGCCAAGUGAGAAUUCUUGAUUAUACCCACAUAUCUGCAUCUCCUAAAAUUGAGGUUCCAUACAUUUUCAUUGCUGGAUGCUUGUGAACGCAUACCAAGAUUUGGAUGCUCGUCGAGAGGUUGGGUCCUCUUCUAAAUCCAACACAGGUGAAUGGUUGAGAACUGGAGUGGAUGUUGUUGACUUAAGCAGCAGCAACAACAACAAUACAGAUAAAGCAAUCAAAAGACCAUUCUUGGAUUUGGGUGUCGUUUUUCCUACCAUCACCGUUAGCAACANNNNNNNNNNNNNNNNNNNNNNNNNNNNNNNNNNNNNNNNNNNNNNNNNNNNNNNNNNNNNNNNNNNNNNNNNNNNNNNNNNNNNNNNNNNNNNNNNNNNCUGAAAUCUUCGGUUUGGGGAUUGAGCCUGCUUAAGUCCGCAUUACACAAGCACAUGUAACAUCUCAGAAAAAUAACUUCAAAAUACGGCCAGCAGAUCAGCAGGAUACCGCUUUAUCGAUCUCCUUCACUUAACCGCGUAAUGAUUUUAAAGGCAUGGGGAGACAGUAAAAGCAAGAUUUGAACAUUAGAGUAUAUGUAUGGUUUCUGUUCCUCAGUUUACAUCAUCAGCAUCCACUCCAGUUCUCAACCAUCCACCUGUGUUGGAUUUAGAAGAGGAACCAACCAACCACUUAUAUCCAUUCUGCUCCUGGUGUCUUCCACAGAGAUGUGAAACUACAGAACCUUUUGGUAAGUUGAUCUUAUUGUGGGUUUGUCUUCGGUAACCAUUACUAGAUUGUAAUCCAUUUCUCUGGUGCGUUCUGUAGGUUGAUCCCCUCACUCAUCAGUGUAAGCUGUGUGAUUUUGGAAGUGCAAAAGUAUUGGUAAGGGUUUACCUUAUUUAUGUUGUUUUAUUAUUUUUCCACUGCUUAUGUGUUCUGUCUCAUGAAAUCAAUUGCACCUUAUUUGUUUUCAUGAUCUUUGCAACAUGUGACUAUUGACUUUAGGUGAAAGGUGAACCAAAUAUAUCAUAUAUCUGCUCUCGGUAUUACCGAGCUCCAGAACUCAUCUUUGGGGCCACAGAGUCUACAUCCUCCAUAGAUAUAUUGUCUGCUGGUUUUGUUUUGGCAGAGCUCCUUCUUGGUCAGGUUAGUGUAAACUAAUUUAUCCAUUAAGUAUCUUGAGAACUAAAGCAUCUCUCCAAUAUCUUUGACAAUCAUUUGAUAUUUAUUUAUCUUCAGCCGUUAUUCCCCCAAAAUUCUGUGGACCAGCUAGUGGAGAUCAUCCAGGUGAAGUCUCAUUUUGAUUUAGAGUUUACCUUGGCGUCAUUAUAGAAAAUUCCUAUAAUCUAAUAGAUUUUUCAUUAUGAUUAAAAUUUCGUUCUGUUUAGGUUCUUGGUACUCCAACUCAAGAAGAAAUCCGAUGCAUGAAUCCAAACUUUACAGACUUUAGGUUCCCACAAAUCAAAGCUCAUCCAUGGCAUAAGGUAUUUUAUAUGCAUGUUACGUUCUAACUUUUCUGAUCAUACAAUAGCUUAGUAGAAAAAUGAAAAGCUGAAACAAUACACAUACUACUUUAUGACCUCCAGGUUUUCUAAUAAGCGGAUGCCUCCAGAAGACAUUGACCUUGCAUCUCGGCUUCUUCAACAUUCAUCGAGCCUACGUUGCACUGCGGUCAGUAUCUCUAAACGACCAAGUAUUCUUAGUUGUUAGAGUGGUUCUCUCUGUUUGGACCUGCACUGUUUAAUGAUGCUGGGGCUUUUUAACUGACAUGUGUUAUGUUUCCGUGUCUAAAAAGCUCGAAGCAUGUGCUCAUCCAUUUUUCAAUGAACUACGUGAGCCCAAUGCUCGUCUUCCAAACGACCGACCUCUACCACCGUUGUUCAACUUCAAACAAGAGGUACGUUAGUCCACUUUCCUUAAACCAACCAUUCUUAAACCAAACCAUAACAGAUGUUAAGUUCAAACAGUUUCUUAAUCUUGUAUCUCUCUCUGUUUAAAUGUUAAAACAGUUAUCUGGAGCUUCCCCAGAGCUUAUAAACAGGUUAGUCCUAGAGCAUGUUAGGUGACAGAUGAGUGCAGGUCCAAACAGAGAGAACCAGGUUAGUACUAGAGCACUGUUCAAGCUGGUCUGUAGAAACAACUUCGAAACCAAGAUGUUUUGUUCUGGGUAAAAAAACCCAUCAAGCAUUUGCUUUGGGCACUAGAAUUUCAAUUAUUUUAGAGGCCAUUUUGUAUAAAUAUGAGUUGGUUAAUAUGGUGUAGUGGUCUAUGAAAAAUGUGUUUAUUUGUCAUUGUGUUUGGCAUAUUUUAUUUUUAAUCAGCAUUAUAAUUAUAUUAUAGAAUUAGCUUUUCUGAAACAACUUAAAACAGAACAAAUGAAAUAAAAACUAUAAAACUCCAUUGUCCAUCUUACUGUUUACAUCUACUAUUCAAAAUGAAGAAAAUAACCUAUAUAUUCUUAGGGGAGGUAUUUGGGGAUAACACGUUUUUUAAUUUGGAUAACGACUGAUAGCAUUUGCAGAUUUUUGCAAGAAAAAAGAAGUUAAAUAUAUUUCUGAAUUGGGAAAAAGGUUUAAAACAUUCUCAAAAAAAAAAGAAAAGAAAAUAGUUAUAAAAAAACAGCAUAUAUGUAUUUCCAUUCAUAGACGAUUCUUUACCUAUCUUGCGUGGUGAAAAAAUAAUACUCAUAUUUUUGUCUAUGUUUGGUGUUGAAGAGAUUUUCCAAUAAUCUAUUAUAAAAGAUAAACUUACUUUUACGGAAGAAAAUUUAGGAAAAAAAUCUAUAUAUACAUUGUUCACUCGAGCUAAAACUAUGGAAACUAUAAUGAAGAAUUCAACAAAAUCAUGAUUCUUUCUAGUAAUGAUGAAACUUAUUACAAAUAAGAAAGAGUACAAAUAUAUGUAAUUCCAGCUUAUAAUGAACUUGCUCACUAUUUAGCAAAAAAAACUUUUUCCAACAAUGUUUUCUAUUCUAGUUUUAUUUAUCUCCCUAUCUGGUUAAGCCCUCUACUUCAUUGUAUAUUCUUCACUUUCUGAUCAAUAUAUAUGCUUCUUGUACAGUUACAUGUAAUCCCAGUUUCCCACUCCAAAACCAAACUUCUCCACAUAAGGUCAGCAAUCUGAAAUCUUAUAUAAACCAUCAUAGACAUAAACCUUAGAGCUAACACUGUUCUCGUACAUAAACCCUCUAAUCACCCGUACCUCAAUAUCAUGGUACACUAAAUUCCCACUUUCUAGAGCUUCUAAUGUUGAAUCUGCCUGUGGAGCUUAUCUUGACCACCAUGACCUGUAUAAACCAGAACAUCUCUAUGUGUCUUCAUCAUCCUCGUAAUUACCUGAGACGACAAUGCUGGUGGCUAUGGGUUCAUCUCCUGUGUAAGCCCACCGAGCACAGUUCAUGACGGGCAAAGAAUUUGUUGUUAAUCACGAUUACAGCUUGUAAACUUUUUCAGGUUCCGUUCUCGGCACAAGUAGUACAAGUUGUGAAUAUUCUUUAAUCUAGAAUGAGACUGGAACACCUUAACUCCACAGCCUCUUAAUCCUAUGUGCACAAGAUUCGAUACGCAAUUACGUUAGCCUGUCACAUGUCGACGUUAUUAACUAUCAUAUUAGAAUUUAGCCAGGUUAUUCUAAUCUGGAAAUUUUUCGUAAUAUAUGAGUGUUGAUGCGGACCAUCUGAAAAUGUCUAUUUAAUCCCAUGUGGACGUCACACNNNNNNNNNNNNNNNNNNNNNNNNNNNNNNNNNNNNNNNNNNNNNNNNNNNNNNNNNNNNNNNNNNNNNNNNNNNNNNNNNNNNNNNNNNNNNNNNNNNNAUGAACUGUGCUCUCAGUGGGCUUACACAGCCAGCUACAACGUAGCUCCAAAGGUGAACUGAUGGCCACCAGAAUUGUGGUCUCAGGUAAUUUGAGGAUGAUGAAGACGUAUGUGGCUUGUUACAUUAGUCCCAGCAAAGAACCAAAUGUGAAGGCGCAUUUGGAGCUGUGUAAGCUAAAGCAUCCAGGAGAGAACUAUCUCGGUAAUAUUAGAGUGAUGAGAGUUUAGGAUUGGAAGAAUUGUAUUGAAUGUACAUAGUAGCUACAUUUAUAUAGAGAAUGAAUUAACCUAAUAAUCUAACUAAUAAACUCAUAUAAAGAUAUUUACAAAUCUCUAGAAUAUAUUCACAAUAUCUUCUUUUAUCAUAUGGAUCUUCUAGAUCCUUCUAUACGCCCCCUCAAGCUCAAUGUGUGAUGGAGCGAAGCGGAAUCAAUGGUUUGAGAUUGACUUCAGAUUGAUCAAGUAAGAGCUGGUGUAUUCUUUGGACUUUGUGGAAGACGUUGAAUGCACGUGCUGAACAAGCGGAUGGGAGGACAACAAACCAUGACAACGAGGCGACAAAGAUGCAAGAGAGAUGCGAUAUGAUUGCGGUGAAAGCCUCAAUAGCAUGAAGAACGGUGUUGACCAUGGCGGUUUUGAGCCAGUGGGAUGUGGCAGUGGAAACUGUGCUUGGGUGGAGAUAGGCUCGUGACUUAGUUUCUUGAGGAAGAAGAAAUAGAGUUUAUUUUCUUCCUUUUUAUGUUUUUUUUUAAUUUUUUUUAUUGAAAGAACACGAUGAAAACUUUUUUUAUAUAUAUGACUGAAAUCAAAAAUCAAAAAUUGGAACGAAAACUUGUAGAACAUGUUUUUUUUAAUAGAAUAAAAAAUACAACGAGAAACCAAAAAGAAAAAAAAAUAUAUAUAAAAUAUCUAAUUUUUAUUUUCUUUUGAAUGUAUCAAACCUAAUUAGAACGUAGAAAAAUAAAACCAACGCAGCCACUUAUUAUUUAUUUUUUUGUGAAUAAGAAAAAGAGACAGAUAGAGAUGGGAAGGGGAAACAGAGAGGAAGUAGACCAGCCAUUUGUGUAAGAAGAAGCAAAUGACGGUGAAAAAGAAGAAAUGUAGAGAGAAAAAGGAGUUUGAUCGUUAGAUCUAUAACUCGGAAACACUCUGGCUUAGAUUCAGAGGUCCAUGAUAUAAUUAAAUUUUAGAAGCACUUGGCUUAAGAAAAAAAAUGAAAAAGAAGUUUGAUCACCAGAUCAAAACUUUGGAGCAAACCUGCUAUGAUACCAUAUUAGAGUGAUGAGAGUUUAUGAUUGGAAUAAUUGUAUAUUGACUCACAUUGAUUGAAUGUACAUAGUAGAUACAUUUAUAUAGAGAAUGAAUUAACCUAAUAAUCUAACUAAUAAAAUCAUAUAAAGAUAUUUACAAAUCUCUAGAAUAUAUUCACAAUAUCUUCUUUGAUCAUAUGGAUCUUCUAGAUCCUUCUAUAAUCCGAGCUAAGCUUGGACUAUGGGUCAGCAGAUGAACUGAACGGGAAGCUCUUAAUCUGUAACUGAGUAGCUUCUAUAGCUUGUUUCUGUAUUUUUCUAUGUCUUUACCGAGAUAGCUCUCCGGGAUGCUUUAGCUUGAGGCAUUUUCUCAAAUCAAUGUUCUUUCUACAUCUCUUAUCAUAGGAGUCUCAUUGUCUGUAUUCUCUCUCUCUCUGUUUUGCUCCUAUGGCAUUUCUUUCUUGCUUUAGCUUGGGGUAAUAUCUCAAAUCAAUGUUCUUGCUACUCUCCAUCUCUUAUCAUAGGAGUCUCAUUGUUUGUACCAUUUGCUAGUUCACAUGCCAAAGUCUUACCGUUUUAGAGUUUUCCUUAAAUGCAAUCAAUUUUGUAUUCUCUCUCUCUCUCUGUUUUGCUCCUAUGGCAUUAAUCUGUUGCAACAAUGAUGCAGAUGGAGAAUACUUUGACAAAUUAACAUAAACCUUUCUCUGUUAGUUCGCUGUUCUGUUUUUCCUUCUCUCUUCGAUAUCUGCAAGGCAAGAUAAAUGUUUUUUCUACAUCUCUUAUUAUAGGAGUCUCAUUGUCUGUACUUGCAUGCUCACAUGCCAAAGUCUUGCCAUAUUUGAGUAUUUCCGAAAUUUGUUUUGUUGCUAAAUUAAACCAAUCACAUGAUUCAGUGAAGAAUUAAGGUAGAUUCCAUUUUAUAAACCAGACCAAUUUAUUGUGAUAGAUAAUACAUAUUUGGAAAGUUACAAAUAAAAGAAAUGAAAAUUGCCCCAAGAAAAAAAGAAGAAGAAAUGAAAUAUCUAUCACACUACAACAAGACAUGUUUGGACCACACACAAACUCAAGUGUAAUUUAAUCGUGUGUGAUAACUAACAUCUUUUUAAUUAUUUUUGCUUUUACAUUUGAUCUAUAUUGUGUGGUAUCAACCAAAUGUUUUAUUUGUUUUACAAAAACCGAUAUGAGUCUCUUCCAAAAUUUCAUUCUACAUUUCAUAAUUCUUAUUGUAAAAGUUCACGAUAUCUAUUUUUUGUUUGUCAUUCAUUUUAAUUUCUAGGCUGAGCUCAAAUUUCUCGAAAAUUCUGUUGUAACAUUAUGGAGGCAGAAGCUAUAACUCUUUUUUGGAUCAUGACAUGUUUGGAUAAUCUUGGCUAUGAAGAGGUAAUUUUUGAGAAUGAUUCAAAGAUAUUGGUGAAAGCGGUAGCUGAACCUCGAGAAUGGCCAAGGUUCAUAGUUUAUACCAGAGAAAUUAACAUGACAAGUAAUAAAAUAAUUUGACCAACUAUCACUUUCCAAGCAAGGAAGACAAGCCAACCAAUGUGUUGAUCUUACAGCCAAUAAAACUUCUUCAUAUGAAGUUUUUUUUUUAAGUUCUUCAUAUGAAGUUCAUUAUGCAUUCUUGAUUAUAGUACUCUUUGGUUGAGAAGGAGAAACGGAUUUAUAUGAAAUAUGUUUGUGCUCGAAAAACAAAAAAAAUGUGGCAUCAUGUUAAAAUGAUGAUAAUUCUCCUAAAUGAACAACAACAAAAAAAAAUGGAUGAUAACUCCUCGAUUACUGGGUUUGAUUCUAUACUGUAUUACUUGUCGGUUAUAUAUUCUCAUUUCCAAUUAACUUUUCCAUUUUAUUAUAACAUAUUAUGACGUCAAAAAGAAAUUAUAACAUGGUGAAAUACAAACGAUAGAACUAUUUAAGUGGCAAUAAUAAGAUGAUGUAAGAAUCUGAUCUGAUACUACAGCAAAUAGAUAUUUGUGCUUGGGUAUGCCUAGAUAUUAUAAGCAAGUUGGUCAUAAAUACAAAUACGUUCUGAAAAUGUACCAAAGAGAUAUCUAGCAACCUCCUCCACCACCACCACCGCCACAACCUCCUCCUCCACCACAACCUCCUCUACCACCACAACCUCCUCUACCACCACAACCGCCUCCACCGCCAGACGCUCCAAAAAUAUAUGGUCUAUGUUUCGUCUCAUUUUUUUCAGAUUUUUUUUCACCGGUGCAAACAAAUACGGCCAUGGCUAUUACGGAGAAGGUGGCUGCAACCACCAAUAUCCCACAAACUAAACCAAAGCCACUGGUUCGAACGUCGCUCAAUAUGCUUCUCACCAUAUUCUCUUGUGUAUAUUUUGGUUAAGUUUGAGACUUUGGAUUCGGUUUUGGUAAGGAUUUAUAUAUGCUUUUGGAUGUGUGAGAAAUAAAAAGCAUUAUUUGUAGGUAAUUCUUUAAUGGACAAUGUUGGCUUACCGCGUACGUUAGGUGUGUCGGUGUGUGGUUACGUAAGAGUAAUACGUAAAAAUCUACAAGUUUCUUUGAUGUCAUGUAAGAAAAUUUUGGUUUAUAUGAGGUGGCUACUUUUCAACGUGCUUAGAUUUGGUUCAAUAUAAGCGAUGCUUAAAAGUCUUAUGAUAAGGUCCCUCUGGCUACUUUUCAACGUGCUUUAACAUUUGGUUCUAUAUGAGGGAUGCUUAAUAGUCUUAUGAUAAGGUCCCUGGACUUUCAUGGAUGGUCGUAAUCCAUACCUUGGAAUAUUUUGUUUACUAAUUCAUUAUUUGGUUUUGAAAAUUUGAAACAAAUUUAUAUUAGAUUCUGCAUUUACUUGAUAUUUUUAUGUAUAGACCUUUGUGGAACCAACCCAUUUAUUUGGGGAGGUUAAUAUAAUUGUUAGAUUAUCAGCAUGUUCUAUCUGUCAUUUAACUAGAUAUAGAUUGGUUAGUAAAGUAAAUCAGUCAUAAUCGGCUAAGACCUAAGGUCAAUUCAUUUUCUAAAAUCAAAAACAUUUAUUAUGAUAGAUAUUUGGCUAGUGGUAUAUGCUCGUACUCAUAAAAUAAUCGAAUGAUGUUUGUAUACAUGCAAGUCGUCCUCAUUUAAUUUUCUAAACCAAAACCAUAUAUGAUCAACGAGAUUUUGGUUUGUAUAUGCUGAGUCGCUAAUCGUACGUAUUCGUAGUUAAGUAAAACCAAAGACACUCACCAAAGACCAAGAGAUAUCUCACUAGCAACCUCCUCAACCACCACAUCCGCCUCCACCAAUGCAACCGCCACAGCUACCCGAAUCCUUCUUCUUUUUCUUCUUUUUGGAGCAAAGCAAAGACCACCAUGGAUACAAGUGAUAAAGACAGAAGAAUCAUGAAGAUCAAGAACAAAACAUCCCUAAAAGGCCAAAAGCAGUAGCUUCUUUCAUAUCUAUCUACCUGAUGAAGAAACCUUUUAAAUUUUUUUUUUCUUUUUACUUUCUCUAUAAACAUUUGAUCCUUCCAUGACACUAAAAGUAGUUGAAAUUUGAAUUUAUUACACCAAUAUAUUGUUGCAAUCUAGUCAAGGUAUUCAAUUCAAUUCUGCAGUUUUCAGGUUUCCUUUCUAGUGCUCUCUCUA
rnacentral:lncRNA from 1 species